rnacentral:lncRNA from 1 species
UUAAUUAUUCUGGAAGUCAAAACAUGCAAAACUGAAACAAUAGUAAAUAAUUGACAAUGAUAGUAACACUUUACUCAUAAAUAAAUCACAAAUUUUAUUCAUCAUCAAACGUCGAUUACAUUUUACAAGUUUCAGGAAAACUAUCUAAUCUGUAAAACUAAUAUCGUCCCUCAGCCCGAUGCGUCUCGCAUGCUGAAAAUGCUUAACCCUCGUCAGUCCCUUCGUAAGGGGAUCUGCAGGAUUCUCAUCUGACGAUAUCCUCCUUGUCACAAGGAGUCCUUCUUCAAUCUUGUGCCUUAUGAAGUGAUAUUUUCUGUCAAUGUGUCGGGAUCUGCCAUGAUCUCUUGGUUCCUUGGCUAAGAUAACCGCAGCAUUGUUGUCACAGAAAAUCUCUAUAGGUUCCUUAAUAGCUGGUACAACUCCAAGGUCUCCGAUGAAGUUCUUUAGCCAUAUCGCCUCCUUCGCUGCUUCACUCGCUGCUAUAUACUCUGAUUCACAAGUCGAAUCAGCCACCGUCUCCUGCUUGGAACUCUUCCAAGAAAUUGCCCCUCCAUUUAAGGUAAAGAUCCAGCCCGACUGAGAGCGGAAAUUAUCCCUAUCAGUCUGAAAACCAGCAUCACUAUACCCUAAUAUUCUCAAGUCAUCACUGCCACCAAGGGUAAGGACCCAAUCCUUAGUCCUCCGCAGGUACUUGAGAAUGUUCUUUACCGCGGUCCAAUGAGCCUUGCCAGGGUUCCCCUGAUACCUGCUGACCAUGCUCAAAGCAAAUGCCACAUCAGGACGGGUACAAGUCAUAGCAUACAUGAUCGAGCCAACUGCGGAAGCAUAUGGUAAUUGGCUCAUCUCAGCUAUCUCAGCCUCUGUACUCGGACUCUGAGUCUUACUCAGUUUGGUAUUGCUUUGGAUCGGUAAAUCUCCUUUCUUGGAAUUCUCCAUGUUGAACCUUUUCAACACCUUAUCCAAGUAGAUACUCUGACUAAGUCCAAUUAGUCUUCUACUCCUUUCUCUUAAUAUCCUUAUCCCUAGGAUAUAGGUAGCCUCCCCUAGGUCCUUCAUAGCAAAGCACUUCCCAAGCCAGGACUUAACCUCCUGCAAGGUUGGGAUGUCAUUUCCUAUGAGUAGUAUGUCAUCCACAUACAGUACCAAGAAGCUAACUAUACUCCCACUAGCUCUGACAUACACGCAAGACUCAUCUUCGCUUCUCAAGAAGCCAAACUCUUUUACCUUCUCAUCAAAACAAAGAUUCCAGCUACGAGAUGCUUGUUUUAAUCCAUAAAUGGAUUUCUUAAGCUUGCAUACUCUAUUAGGGUACUCUGCAUUGACAAAACCCUCUGGCUGAUUCAUGUACACAUCCUCAGCCAACUUUCCAUUAAGGAAAGCGGUUUUGACAUCCAUUUGCCAUAUUUCAUAAUCAUGAAAUGCUGCAAUGGCUAACAUAACCCUAAUAGACUUAAUCUUGGCCACCGGCGAGAAGGUUUCAUCAUAAUCAAUACCUUGAGUUUGAGUAAAACCCUUCGCAACCAGUCGAGCCUUAUAAGUAUGCACUUUUCCUUCCAUGUCGGUCUUCUUUUUGAAGAUCCAUUUGCACCCGACUGUUUUACGGCCUGGUACAUUGUCAACCAAGUUCCAAACUUGAUUGUCAUACAUGGACUGUAUCUCGCUGUCCAUAGCCUCCUUCCAUUUAGCAGACUCCGGGCCUGCCAUGGCUUCCUUAACACUGCUAGGUUCAUCCAAAUUUACUAGUGUACUAUCACUAAUAAACGUAUCACCUUCCGUAGUAAUAUGAAAACCAUAAUAAAACGAAGGUGUGUUCCUAACCCGUGUGGAACGUCUCGGAGGUACAGACUCGUCAGCUGGAUCAACAGGAGUUUCUUCCUCAGGUUGAUUGCUAGUGUCUGAGGUUCCUUCACCAAUUGAUUCUUGAAUUUCUUCAAGAUCAAUCUGCCUCCCACUGUCUCCUUGGCUUAUAAAUUCUUUCUCGCGAAAGAUCCCUCUUCGUGCUACAAAGACCACAUUCUCACUGGGUCUGUAGAAAAGGUAACCGAAGGAUUUCUGUGGGUAGCCGAUGAAAAUACACCUUUCACUUCGGGGUUCAAGCUUAUCAUGAGUUUCACGCCUCACGAANNNNNNNNNNNNNNNNNNNNNNNNNNNNNNNNNNNNNNNNNNNNNNNNNNNNNNNNNNNNNNNNNNNNNNNNNNNNNNNNNNNNNNNNNNNNNNNNNNNNNNNNNNNNNNNNNNNNNNNNNNNNNNNNNNNNNNNNNNNNNNNNNNNNNNNNNNNNNNNNNNNNNNNNNNNNNNNNNNNNNNNNNNNNNNNNNNNNNNNNNNNNNNNNNNNNNNNNNNNNNNNNNNNNNNNNNNNNNNNNNNNNNNNNNNNNNNNNNNNNNNNNNNNNNNNNNNNNNNNNNNNNNNNNNNNNNNNNNNNNNNNNNNNNNNNNNNNNNNNNNNNNNNNNNNNNNNNNNNNNNNNNNNNNNNNNNNNNNNNNNNNNNNNNNNNNNNNNNNNNNNNNNNNNNNNNNNNNNNNNNNNNNNNNNNNNNNNNNNNNNNNNNNNNNNNNNNNNNNNNNNNNNNNNNNNNNNNNNNNNNNNNNNNNNNNNNNNNNNNNNNNNNNNNNNNNNNNNNNNNNNNNNNNNNNNNNNNNNNNNNNNNNNNNNNNNNNNNNNNNNNNNNNNNNNNNNNNNNNNNNNNNNNNNNNNNNNNNNNNNNNNNNNNNNNNNNNNNNNNNNNNNNNNNNNNNNNNNNNNNNNNNNNNNNNNNNNNNNNNNNNNNNNNNNNNNNNNNNNNNNNNNNNNNNNNNNNNNNNNNNNNNNNNNNNNNNNNNNNNNNNNNNNNNNNNNNNNNNNNNNNNNNNNNNNNNNNNNNNNNNNNNNNNNNNNNNNNNNNNNNNNNNNNNNNNNNNNNNNNNNNNNNNNNNNNNNNNNNNNNNNNNNNNNNNNNNNNNNNNNNNNNNNNNNNNNNNNNNNNNNNNNNNNNNNNNNNNNNNNNNNNNNNNNNNNNNNNNNNNNNNNNNNNNNNNNNNNNNNNNNNNNNNNNNNNNNNNNNNNNNNNNNNNNNNNNNNNNNNNNNNNNNNNNNNNNNNNNNNNNNNNNNNNNNNNNNNNNNNNNNNNNNNNNNNNNNNNNNNNNNNNNNNNNNNNNNNNNNNNNNNNNNNNNNNNNNNNNNNNNNNNNNNNNNNNNNNNNNNNNNNNNNNNNNNNNNNNNNNNNNNNNNNNNNNNNNNNNNNNNNNNNNNNNNNNNNNNNNNNNNNNNNNNNNNNNNNNNNNNNNNNNNNNNNNNNNNNNNNNNNNNNNNNNNNNNNNNNNNNNNNNNNNNNNNNNNNNNNNNNNNNNNNNNNNNNNNNNNNNNNNNNNNNNNNNNNNNNNNNNNNNNNNNNNNNNNNNNNNNNNNNNNNNNNNNNNNNNNNNNNNNNNNNNNNNNNNNNNNNNNNNNNNNNNNNNNNNNNNNNNNNNNNNNNNNNNNNNNNNNNNNNNNNNNNNNNNNNNNNNNNNNNNNNNNNNNNNNNNNNNNNNNNNNNNNNNNNNNNNNNNNNNNNNNNNNNNNNNNNNNNNNNNNNNNNNNNNNNNNNNNNNNNNNNNNNNNNNNNNNNNNNNNNNNNNNNNNNNNNNNNNNNNNNNNNNNNNNNNNNNNNNNNNNNNNNNNNNNNNNNNNNNNNNNNNNNNNNNNNNNNNNNNNNNNNNNNNNNNNNNNNNNNNNNNNNNNNNNNNNNNNNNNNNNNNNNNNNNNNNNNNNNNNNNNNNNNNNNNNNNNNNNNNNNNNNNNNNNNNNNNNNNNNNNNNNNNNNNNNNNNNNNNNNNNNNNNNNNNNNNNNNNNUGUUGGAUAAGGUGUCUAAGUCCAUAACUAUUUCUGGUAAAUACUUGACCCGACCCGGCAUGGUCCAUUUGGGUUGCAUGGCACCAUGCAAUUGGAUAAACUAAAUGAGAGAAAUAACACAUAUGGUUUAUUAAUAUAUUAUAAGUUCUAAUAUAUUAAUAAUAUUAUUUAAUUAGUUUUGAUCAAGAAUUAAUUUAGAAUUAAUUAAGUGAUCAAAAGAAUAACUAAUUAAAUAUAUGGGUAGAUUAUGUAAAUCUUCCAUAUCUUAUAUAGUGGGCUAAAAGGCUCCAUGGAUUAUCAAGUUGGGUUCCACCCAUAGGAUGCUCCAUGGAGUUAACCCAUGGAUUGAGAAAUGAAGAGUCAUGUUACAUUAGGGUUUUACCUAAUGCAACACACUAUAUAAGGACCAUGUCUCUCCCCAAAAUCGGCUACACUAGUGAAACACUAGAGAAACAAGAGGGCUUGGCCGGUUUUGAGUGUGUUAGAUUAUUCUCUCAACUUUAUACUUUGCAUUUGGUGUUGUGUGAAGCAUUUGAGGCAUCACACAUGAGGUGCUAGGCUCACAAGGUUUCAAGGAACGCUUUCAACAACAAGGUAUGUAGUUCUAUCUUUUAUACAAAGAAAAUUGUACCCCAUGUAUGCUAGAUAGGUUCAUAACCUUGGAAAACAACUUUGCAUGAUUAUUAGACAAACAUAGAUCCAAGGUUAUUAGGGUUGCAUGUACACUUAGGAAGUGUUAGAAUGCUCAACACCCAUCAUUUACGACCGUAAACUAAAUGAUUUAUGGUCACAAAACCGUAAACUCCCAUAGAGGAUCCUCUUGAACCCUAAACUUAAUAGCCAAGUCCUAGAACCCUUAGAUGCAUUCCUUAGGACUUAUAACACUUAAAUCAAGUGUUUUACAUGUCUUAGGAUGUCUUAACUUGGUUAAUUAGUUGUUUAAUGACUAAUUGAAUACAUAUAUGUGUUAUUAUAUGUUAAUUAGCAUCCUUGUGUGUGCUUAAGUCUUCACUUGACACUUAGCAUCCUAUUCAGCCCGUUCAUCCAAACCACUCACUGUAGGUGAGUUCAUACCCCUGUUAAUCAAUAUUUUAAAUGUUUUUAAAUGCUUUUAUGGGGGGAUACAAGUUGAAUCAUGCUAGUUAUCAUAUCAAUCACAUGUGAUUAAUAAGUAGCAUACAAAUGGAUUUACUACUCUUUUAGCUGUUUUACCGGAUAGAUUACUUCAAAUGGCUUUCAAAACGUUUUUACUUGUUUAAAACUCUUUAUCAAACUAUCUUACAUAUUGAAUGUUUCUUUUCAAACUCUGUUACAAUUGUGUUUCAAACAAAGGUUUCCUUAUACUUUAAACUGUUCAUAUCAAACAAACUGCUUUCAAAUCGUUUUACAAACUGACAUCAAGUCAUCCUUUCUUAGUUAUUAAACUUUUCAUAGGUUUUACAAAACUUCUUUUAUAUUUUUAUAUUGUCAAUUGCAUGCAUGUAUAUGUAUAGUUAUAUAAGUAAUGUUUAAAGGACUUAGGAAGGCUAGCUCACUUUAUCUCCUUUACCUUGUUUGGAUGUGGCUUUAGGGCAUCGGUUAUUCGUCCGAAGGUCUUCUAAAUAUUAGUUAUAUAUUAUGUAUACAUAUAUAGACAUAAACGUUCUAUCAGUCAAUUCAAUACCCUUGGGUAGCAAGGGUAUACAUUCAUGUUCAUACGUACAAGUCAUAUUACUAGUAAACUAUGAUAGGCGUAGUUUAGGAAGUUACUAAUACUAUUACUAGAACAAUGAAUCAUACAAUGAGUCAGUUCAUUCAUGAGUCAAUACUUGCUAGAUAGAGAGAGAACAUACAAUACAGCUAGUACACACAGUACAUUUCAAUACUUGCUAGAUAGAGAGAGAACACACAAUACAGCUAGUACACGCAGAACAUUACAAUACAUACAGGCUAGACAGAGAAAGAACACACAAUACAACUAGCACAUACAUUACAUAUACAUUCAUGCAGUUAUGUGAGCCACUAAACGGGGCAUGGCACUACCUGUCAUGACCGUUUUUGUAUCCAGAAUCUCCUUAAUUGGGGAGCGUAUGAGUUUGCGUAUAGAUCUAUACUGGAUUGACUAUCCUACACCUUGCUGCUCGCUACAGUGGAACUUGCAAGUCUACGGGUGCCAAAUGUCAUUUCUUACGACGUCUUACAUCGUCUUUUUUCUAUUGAGUCGGUAGCAAGAUACAGGCCGGUCACAUGGUACUUUAAAUUACACUUGAUAUAAGGUAGUUAGUACAGCAGUAGUUACUUAUUACAAUACUACAAUACUAUAUUAUUUUCCCAUUACAUUCACUUCGUGAACAUUCACACGAUGCAAGGUAAUGUAAAAACUAUAUUUUUGGUUAAUGAUAGUCGGAUUUGGGAAAAUACACACUCUUACAAGAGUCACACACAGAUACUAGAUGCCUUGGUAGAAGGCUACUUUUAGUAGGAAACAUAGGGUUUUCUAGGAGGUUCAAAACGUUUACAUACUUACACUUCACAUAUUUACAAAUACUUUCUUACAAAUACAGACACUAAAAUACUUAUGAUCUCACCAGCUUUAAAGUUGAUACUAUCUUUCAAAAUAACUUGUAUCCUCAGGUCAAUAGUAGACAGGUACCAAUGUAAGGUUUAGAGAAGAUGGAGCUCGUUCAAGACUCGUUUUUCAUUUUGAUUUAUAUUUUGGUGUCUAUAUAACUUGACAGAACACUCUUGUAUUAAAAUUAUAUUAUUAAUGCAAUGGAUGAUGUUGUUGCUUGUUUACUACUACUCCGCCCCAGAACGUUUCCGUCGUUCUAUGGUUUUGGGGUGUGACAGUUUCUGUGUUUCUUCCUCCUAACUCUUCUUACGACAGGUAUUUUUUUCUCUUUUCACAUCUUUCUUUAGGGUUAUGUAAUUGGGUUUUACAAUUGUCCUGCUUUGUGGUGUCAUCGACAACUUCUGUUUGGCAAUUGUUAUGUUGUCUCCCUUCUUUCAUGUCUUGUCGACAAGACCGGAGAAGCUUAUCGUUUGGUGUUCUUCGGCUGGAGAAGAAGAUCGACUGUACACAUGGAGAAGAAGACCGACUGACCGUCGGUACGGCUGUCAGUUGUUGUUUGAUGCCGACGGUUCUCCAAGAAGAUACCAGUCGGACAUGAAGGUCUUUCUAAUGAUUUCGAUUCAGGUUACAUCGAUGUCUGAUUUUGUUUUUGUCUUAUGUGGGUUUCAAAGAUUCUGAAAAGGGUUUGAAUUCCUUUGCUACUACCUACCAUAGCGGGGUUGCUUCCAUCUUCUGUGCUCAGUUCCUCAGUCUGAAGAAAACAGGCAUCAAACGGACAUACCUACUGUUUUACAGAAGAGAUUGAACGAGAAUAGGUACUCUAUGUGUGAAAUUCAACUAUAUAGAUUCUACAUGUCGGUUGAAAAAGAUUGGUGUACAGAGGCUGUUAAUAUGCUAAAGGAAAGUGCAUAUGCAGUGUUUGUGGAAAUGCCUAAGAGAAGGUAAUAUGUUUCUAUUAUCUGUUAUAGAUCAAAUAUGCCGCAACUUUGUACAUGUUUCUAUUAUCUGUCAUCAAUCAUCAAUCAUGUUAUUUUUUCAUAUGAACAUGUUUCUAAAUCUUCUUCAGAGUUGGAAUUGGUUAGAUUGCAGACGGAUGAGCUGGUGAGACCGAAUGGUAUCUUUCUAUCAGGUUAUUAGAUCAAGACAUAUGUAUCUUAAUCUUCUUCCUCAAUGGAAGAGAAGUAGUCACCAACUUUGAACCUUGCUUAUAUGAAUAUGAAGAUGAGACCAAUAGUAGAGGUAAAAACUAUAGAAUACCAAUUAAUUCAAUAUAUUUCGUGAUGAUUUUAUUAAUUAUUUUGUAACAGGAAUAGUGAAUCAAUGGAUUUGAAUAUGGGAAUUGCUCCCCCUAGGAAGAUGGGAAUUACCAUUUGGGUAAUAUGAUCAAAGUGAUGGUUACAAUUCAUACUCAUCUGAUGAUUUACCUGAACCUGUAGUGAUGACACUAAAGUAGGGCUCAGAUGUCUAGGACAUGGAUUUUCACCCGGUAUAGUAAAUUUUGAUUCGUGGUCAGGUCUCAUUUACUAAACAAAUACAGUUUUACUCUGUUAAUUAUGUAUUUAUUAUCUCAUUUUCUUUAUAAUUCCUUAAAUUAUUACAUUUCGGACAGGUACUGGACAGGUCAUCAUAAACGACAACAUGGGUUCAAGAUUUGGCUAAGAUGCACAAGGUCAUUCAUAAAAAAAUUACAUACAAUUUGGAUGGAACAAGGUUUAAAACUGUAAAAUGUCUUUUCUAUCCUUUUUAUUUGUUAAAUAUAUGAUGCUUAUUAGACCAUUAAAUGUUAUUCUCAUAUGGGACAAAUAAAGAAGGCGAAUGAUACAUAAUGGAAUCUAACGAAAGUGGAGGAGUUUCCCUAUUUGUGUUUGUUGUUUGCAGGUUUAGUGUAAUUCUUUUUCUAUUACAACUUGGUCAAAUUGUAUACUUUUAUGGCUUUGUUAAAAUGCAUUGUUGACAUGCUAUCAGGGUAACUUUUUUUUACUCAAUGAUUAAAACUAUUAAAAAAAUUUAAUAGUUUCAUUACAUAUGACUGUGAUUAAUUUUUUUUACUCAAUGCUUAAUGGGCCAGUAAGCAUAUUAACAAAAAAAAAUUGCAAUUAAUAAGUAUAUGUGAUGCUUUUGGAAUUCAUCUGUAUGUAAGUAAGUUAUAGCUUCUAAGCAAUUCGUUUUGACAUUUAGAAAUCCAAAAUUUGGGGGUUUGGCUUUUGAUUCAAUAAGUUGAACAAAGAUUCUGAUUUUUCACACUUAAUCCAAUUUUAUUGGUAUAUUAUAAAUUGUAAUUGCUAUUGUGAGCAUGAAAUUGAAAAGAAUGCUUUGGUGAAUUUGAUGACUAGAUGACAACCAAUUUCUAGUCCGAUGCAAUCUAAUGAUAUUAGAUUGAAAAAACAUUUCUGACCCAUGCGAAUCAUCGGUCCUUUUCCUAGUUACAAUGAAAUAGCAACAGAAAAAAAAUGAUUAUUUAGCCAGUUAGACCAAAAAAACCUUUGUUUUUUCGUUCGUAUUCGCAAACCAACAAAACAAAAACUCAACUAUGUCAUCAAAGUCAUAAUUGUAACAAAUUAGAAACACAGUAUCAAAUUUAAGACAAAAAAAAUAACGGAGUGUUAAAAUCGAAUUUCCGUGUAAACUUAAUGAUUUUUGUGGCACUUGCCUUAUAGUUAGUUUAUCAAUAAGUUAUUUCAAAUAUUUUAUUAAAAAAACUAGCUUAUAAACCAAAUUAUAAAAUACAAUAAACUAUUUUUAUGAUUUCACAAACUUAAAAAAUAAGUUAAUCUAUGGACGUAUCAAUAAGUUAUUUCAAAUAUUUUAUUAAAAAAACUAACUUAUAAACCAAAUUAUAAAAUACAAUAAACUAUUUUUAUGAUUUCACAAACUUAAAAAAUAAGUUAAUCUAUGGACGUCAAAGAGAGUCCGACUAAUAUUCAAAUGUUAGUAUUAUUCCAUCCAAAUAUCUCACUUUUGUUUAGAUGUUUAACGACUAAAUCGCUUAGUUUCAUUUUUGUUUCAUUGUCGCAAAAGUUACGUAUCAUGGUAUAAAUCGCUUAUACAAAGUUUAAUAUAUAGUGUGUAAAACCUACGUAUUCAAGCAAUCGCAAAAUUGCAUAGCUACAACAAAUACAUGCCAUUACUGAGUAUUUUUCAAUUCAUAUUUACUAUGAAGCAUUUAAUUUUUUUUUAUUGUUUUGUAUUUUCUGUUGUGAUUUGGUUGUCUAGCCUAUUAAAUUAAGAGUGCUCCUAUUAGCACGAAUUUAUUCGUGUAUAAGCAAUCAGUAGACAAUCAAGCCAUCAUCAUAUUUGUUUUCGAUUCUUUAUUUUCAAUUGUUUUUAUAUUUUUCAUUUUAUUCCCUUUCAAUUAGAUGUAAGUUACAAAACAAACUCUUCUAAUUUUUAUUUUUUUUAAUUUCAACAACUUUAUAUAAAAUACACAUAUAAAAAUAAAUACUAAAAAUCUUAAAAAUAUAUAUUCAAAAUAAUAUCAAUUAAAAUGUUAAUGUAUGCAUUCUAACCAUUUUCAAUAAAUUUAUUUAUCAUCAAAACGUUAAUAAUAUAUUUUAUUAUUUUCAAAAUUCAUAUUAUUAACAUUCAAUCAAUUUAUAACUUUUUUAACCCAUUGCUAAAACCAUUAUUUAAGUAAAAUUAAGUAAAUUAAUCAUAAUGUAAUAUGUAUUAGAAAAACCUAAAAAAUGACAAAAGAACUAGGAAAUCUCAUACGAAGCUUACAAGUGACCUAAUGAAACCCUAAUUUAGGGUGUUGCACCAUAUAUAAGCACCUUAAGUCUUUAGGGUUGGACACUUCACCGUUCGAAACGGAUAUCCAUCCAAUGGACACAAAUAAAGCAGAUGAAAGUAAUUAUUUUUUCGAUGACACAUCACCAUUCAAAACGGAUAUUGUAUAAAUUCAUUAGUAUAUUGUUACAAUAAUGUUAGCAUCGAGUGGAUUUGUUAGCUACUGAUAAUAAUAUAAUUGUCAGGUGUUCAAUCUCCUCAAGAAUUGAUGGAUUGGGUGUAAAAUGUGGCAAAUACUUUAGGUUAUGUCAUCGUCAUAAAAAAUUCUAAAUGUAACUUUAAUAUUGUAUAAAUUCAUUAGUAUAUUGUUAUAGUAAUGUUAGCAUCGAGUGGAUUUGUUAGCUACUGAUAAUAAUAUAAUUGUCAAGUGUUCAAUUCUCCUUAAGAAUUGAUGGAUUGGGAGCAAAAUGUGGCAAAUACUUUAGGUUAUGUCAUCGUCAUAAAAAAUUCUAAACGUAACUUUAAUAUUAUAUUUCAAUGUGACCGUGGAGGUACAUACAAAAGUACACAAAUGUAAAAAAAAAAAAAAAAAAAAAAAAAAAAAAAAAAAAAAAAAAAAAAAAAAAACUGGGACAAAAAAAUUAAUUGUCCAUUUAGCCUACAUGGUAAAUAUUCGUCAGUAGAUAAUUCUUGGAAGAUAAAAAUGAUAUGUGAAUUUCAUAACCAUGAGUCGUCAUUAUACGCCCGAUUAUAUGUCGUCUAAUUUGUUUGAUCUAAACAAGAAACCGGAUUGGCACUGUACGUACUCGUUCCGAGAACCUCCAUUGUUAAACUCAACCUUUAAUCAGGAACAAUCGAUGCAUAACUCGUACUUCAACCAAGAACAAGUAAUGUAUAAUUCAAAUCCACUUAUGAAUGAAAUUUCGUAUGAAUUUCAUCUAUAUGUCACAAAUAUACAAAACGUGAGGGGAGAUGGAAAUUGUGGAUUUCGUGCAAUAGCUGCAUGUCUCGGUUAUAGUGAAGAGAAUUGGCAUCAAAUCCGCUUAGAUUUAUAGAAUGAGUUGUUAGCACACCCAGCUGAGUACGCACAGAUUUUUUAUUACGAUUUAAACACUAUACAUCACUCAUUGAAUUUCAAUGGAUCACGUUCCGCACCAAAAGAUCGUUGGUUGAUUAUGCCGGUCACAAGCUUUCUCAUUGCUAACAAGUAUAGUGUAAUAGUUAUUUUUCAAAGCAAAGAUAGUCCAUCAACAUGUUUUCCACUGUGGCUUGGUCCCCAAGAUAUCUCAACUCAUAGAGUUGUUGUUAUUGCUCUUGUUAUAGGUGAUCAUUUUGUGAAUGUUGAUUUACAUAGAACAUAUCCAAUGUCUAUUAUUUUGCCACUUUGGUGUCACAACAGAUCAUCACGGUCUGCUGGAUGGGAAACUUUUUAUGUUGCUCACCUGAAUUUUUACAUUUCUCAUUUGCAAUACACAGUAAUUGUAACAAUUCUAUAGUUAUAAUAUCUGAUAAUUAAUAAAAUCAAGUUUAUGUUUUGUUAUUUAUAAUUAUUAAGAUCUNCACACACACACACACACAUAUAUAUAUAUAUAUAUAUAUAUAAACUAAAGUUUUAGAAAAUAUAAGGUUUCUUUUGAAAAUCAAUAUAAAUAUAAGGGCAUUUAAUAUAAAUUCUAAAAUCACAUCACAUCAAUUUUGAAUAAAUGAUUUUGACGAUGAAAAAUUAAAUUAAUAUAUUAAAAAUGGUUAAAUUGCUAAUUGUGAUAUAUCAAGUCAAUCAAUUCGUGAUCUAAAUGAAAUUGGAUUCGUGUAUUUAGAAUAACCCAUUAAAUAAUUUGUUUUGACAUUUAUUUGUUUGAUCUUUUGAUUUAGUAUGAAUAUUCGAAUAUCAGACUUGUUGUAUUUGUUUUCCUGCCUUUUUUGUUUUAAAUGAUUAUGAUGUCACUUGUCACUUGUCAGCGUUUUAGUCAAAAUUUUCCACGUGAAUUUGUGUUUGAUAGUUGAAUUAAAUAAUUAACUGUUUUCUAUAGUUGAGUUUAGUAGCAAAUAAUAUGCUUGAUUUUAUAAAAAUUGUCGACUUAUAGUAUUAUGAGCUUCAUAUGCAACCUGGAAUCUUCGGACUUGUAUAAAGCUAGUUGUGGUUUGGCCUUCUGUAAGUCAACCGUCGGCCUAAUAACAGGCCCAGUCAGCCUGCUACUUAUCUAUCGAUGAAAAUAGUUGAAUAUUCUUAAGAGAUCUCUAUUAAUAAUCAACUUCAUUUUCUUUCAUGUUGUACAGAUGCAAAAUUCAAAUCUCUCUAAAAAUAUUUAUGUUUUUCUUUUAAUAAAUUUCGAUUUAAAAUUUUUUAUUCUUCAUAUUUUUAAAUUAUAUUAUUGGUAUUUUAUAAGUUACGAUUUUAAUCUCUUAGGCCCUGUUUGAUACGCAUCUUUCCAGGCCCAAACAGAUCUUUCUGGCUGAAUGGACCCGAAAGACUGUUUGAUUUGCACAAAAGAAGGAGUCUUUCCUGGUAAGAUAUAUUUUUCCCAGAAAGCCCCAAAAUCAUAUCUUUCUGGCUGAAUGGGCUGGAAAGACAAUUAUACAUUAUUAAUUUUUUUAAAUAAUUUUUUUUAAAUUUAUUUUUUAUUGAAUUAUUACUUUUUUUCAUCAUUCAGCACAGUCAAUCAAAUGUACAAUCAAACAACAUGAUUUCUUUUCUAGUCAGAAAACUUUCCCAGACAGCACUUUACCGGACAACAUUUUCCCAGAUAGAAACUAUCAAACGGGAUCUUAUUAUAUUUUACUCAUUUAGAACAGCUAUUGUUUCUAACUAGCCGUUUACCCGCGCUAAACGACGGGUGCAAAUAAAAUUUCUCAUAAAUUAGUUGUAGAGUCAGUAAGAAUAAAAAUGAAGUGUUUUGCUCGUUUACAAAUGUGUAUGAACACAUGAUUGAUUGUAUAUUGUUAUUCGUGCAACAUUUUUAUACAACACAUUUGAUGUAUAAACUUCAUUGCCAUUGAAUUGUUCGUUAGACUUCACGAAUAUUUUUUAUUGAUACGUGAUAUCCUUCUGGAUAAAGUUGGAGAUGCGAAUAGUUAGUUUUGGAAAUUAUUUUCAUUCGAAAACACGUUAUAUUUCAAGGAACAUAAGUUACUUUUUGACGAAUCAUUUCUUUUCACUAUUUGUUUGUCAUACGGAAAUGUCCAUUUUUAUUUGUUGUUUUGAAUUAAAAAUAGAAGCAUGUUGAUGUUUUUUGUUUAAAAAAGAAAAUGUUGUUAUGGAUUAAAAAUAAAUCUACAUUGUUAUUUUUUAUAAAAAUAUACAUUAUUGAUUACAAAUCCGAUUAAAUCUUCGUUUUUUCGGUAUAAUUAUGAUUUAAUUUGUUGGUUUGUCACAAUAACGGAUAAAUGACACUUACGUGGAGACCAUUAAUAGGUCUAGGUCUAGGUGGUGGACUGAGAUCAAGUGACUAAUCGAUGUCCAAGGGAACUACCAUCAAAAAAAGGUUUGUACAUAAUUUCUUACAAUUAGACGAUAAAAAUAGAAAAUAUAAGUAAGAUGCUAAAAUAAACAAUUUCAUAAUUUGUAGUUAAUUUGGAGAUAAACAAGUGUCGUUUUGGCUAAAUAAAAACGUACUGAUCUAUUUUGGGUUAAAAAAAUAUAUUGUUAUUUUGUGUAACAAUAGUCAUUUUCAAUUAAUAUUGAUAAAAAACGUGAAUUUCAUAACAAUUGUCAUUUUCCAAAAAUAUUUAUUGGACUAAUCAAAGUAUUAGUUUAAACUUUAAAUAGAGAUUUAUUUAUAUUUUAAGAGAAAUUAAAUAUCCUCCUACCUUUUGAUCCUACAUAUUCUCCUACCCAUUUAAAUGAUGACAUACGUCAUAUUAGUAUCCUAAAAUAUCAUUAAAUCUCAUUAAAUAAACAUUAAAUGUUACACAUGUCAUCAUUUCAUUGGGUACGAAGAUAUGUAGGAACAAAAAGUAAGAGGAUAUUUAAUUUCUCAUAUUUUAAUAUUAAUCUUAUUGUUUAGGUAGUUUUGAAUAAAUCAUUAUCAUUAUUAUGAAAUUUGAUAUUGGAAUUUGUCAAAUUUGAAAUGAAUUUAUUAGUUUGUUAAAAAAUGAUUUGUCUUUAUCAAAAAAGAUCUGCUAUUAUCUUAUUGAAUUGGAGUUUGAUUUAACGAAAAUCUAUUUUUUUUUAUCCGAAAUUGUUUAUCAAUGAAAGUAGCAGGAUGGUAACUGGUACGUGUUUUAUGAAGAUUUUUGUUUUACCAUGCUCAAUAUGGACAGUUUGGGGAUUUUACAUUUUCUAUCUUUGGUUUCGUUUGGAUCUUUAUGAAUGACUAUCCGUAUUCUCUCCAUCUUAUUUUUAUUUUUGUCACGUUUAUCACAUCGAUUCCUGCAUUAUUAUAUUAGUUUAGUGUAUAACAUAACAUUCAUACGGCCAUCCUUCCAAAUUUGUUAUUCUAAUUGAUUUGAUUGUCUUUAAUUUUGUCAUUUUAUACUUCUUAUUUUUUGUCUGUAAGAUGAUUAAUGUUUAGCAUAUUUUCUAUCUGUAAGAUGAUCAUUGUUUAGCAACUUGUGACUAAGAUAUUGGAGAUUCAGCUUCUAUAAAUAAAAUUACAGAAAAAGUCUUUUUUAUUUACAAGUGAUUUGAAGAUCGAUAGCAUCUAAAUAUAUAUAUGACAAACAAAUAAAUGAGCAACAAAAUAUAUACCAUGUGAAAAGAAUUUUCAAAACGUCUACUUUUGAUUUUCCCUAUCUACUUGCCCACUUUCUUUCCUCAAAGAAUUCUCCAUUUUUGAAAGUCUCUUUAUAGUAGGAUCUUCAUUAGUCGCCUUUCAUUUCUCAACAUCUUUAACUCGGUAAGAUCAUGACCAAGCUUCCUUCAUCUCCUUCACCCAUCUCUCAAGAUCUUUUAUCUGAUGCAAUAAACUGAAGACCAUCUCACCCCCUACACUCAAGUGUAGUUUAGUUUGUUGGACAUGGACUUAGUACCAAUUAUAUAUAACUGGUUUAUAUUGUUCCUUCUUAUGGUUGAUAAAUAAGUUAUGUCUUGUAUACACGCUGAAUAGGGAUAUGGUGAAAUGAAUAGAGAGAUGGAGACAAUACAGUAUUAAUAAUCACCAAGCAACUACAAUUAGUGAAGUAACAAAGUUGUCUUAACAAUUUUUGUAAAUGAUGCAUUACAAGGCCCUUAGUUUUGUAUGAACUGCCAUUUUUUCUUGAGAUAUAAACAAACAAAUUGGACCAUGAUUACAACUUUUUACAUCCUCCCUUGUUCUCUGAAAAUCAUUUAAAUAAGCAGAAAAUUUCACAACUUAAAGUGAAUUCAAGAGCUAUCAGAUUAAAAAAUUAAAAAUCAAACUAAUGAAUAAAUUAUUUAUUAAAACUCUUUCCAAAGUAAAAAGCUAUAAACUCAGCAACUGAUUCAACAAUAGCAAGGGAAUUACCACAACAAUUCAGCUACCCCUGAGCCAAGUAUGAGACGUGGUAUGAGGAUACGACAGAAGCAAAUUAAAUUCAAUGAGAUGAAAGCCUAGAUAAAAACAAAAUCAUUAAAGUUUCCAACCAGUCAACUUCUUUAGGUUUGAACCCCAAUUUCAAUNUAAAGUUUCCAACUAGUCAACUUCUUUAGGUUUGAACCCCAAUUUCAAGAUGGAUCAAUUUAUGAAAUGGAGACUUGGUUCUAGUUGGAUAUGUAAUAAUUAUGCUAAAGUGGUCAUGAAUUCCACAUAUGACUAUAAUUUAUCAAAUUUCCAACAUCCUACAACACAUCAGUUUCUAAUUUUCAGCAACCGUAAUACCCAAAUUACAAACAACAAACGUACCUUUGAUUUAUAUGAUUUGAACAUAAAAUUUAUGCGUAAUUUGUUGAACCUAGAAAAACAAUCUUAAUGAAAUAUACAAAUGAAAACCUAAAAAGUAAUUUAUACCCAAUUAAAGACCUUUUAACACCCAAUACCUAUUCGAGUAUUCCCUUUGUCCACACAUCAAAGCUUACAUAACUAAAAGCGAAACAAAUAGCAUAAAUAAACAAGUGACCAAUCAAAUUAGGUUAUGGGAAAACAAAAAGUGACUCGCCUCCAAGAACAAAGCUUAAAGAAGAUGAGAAGAGAGAUCGGAAAUGCCAGUUGUCCCAGAUACAUGUGAACAUGCAGACAAUGUUAGAGACAAGGUAAUGGAUUCAACAUACAACCCCUAAUUCUCAUACAAUAAAUCCAACCUAAAAAAACCGUAAAACAGAUUGAAAAACUAUAACCAUGGUACUAACUACUAAUACACAAUGGAAAUAGGUUUUUAAUACCUUCGUCUUAGAAGCUAGCAGGUUGUUCAUCACACGAUCCUUGAACCUAGAUGAUAAAGAUGAAUUCACAACCAAAAAUAUCAAAUAGUUGUACUUAGUAGAAUGUUUGUUUCACUACUAAUACUAACAUUGAAGGUAUGUCUUUAUACAUAUGAAUGAUCUACUUUGGCAUUUCAUCAAAUAAUUGUUUGGCAUCAUCAGCAAACAUUAGUUAGCAAUUCCUCGUCAUUUAACUUUUCCUAACAUAUAAAAGCAACUACUUUAAGCAUAAUAGUUAAAUAAUAUAUGAAAAAAGGAAGUACAAGCUUCAACAACAUGAAAAUACAUCAAACCUAAUUCGCUUACUGAUGGGUGAAUCCCCAAAGCUACCACUCAACUGCCCCGGACAGAGGUGCACAGAAGACCAUAUUACAUAAGAAGAAAAAUGUAAAGCAUAUCAGAAGUUGUUUGUGAGAAUUGCACACAUAAAUUUCAAUGUCUCCAAAAAUAUGUACCUUUUAUGUGUACCUAUCUUUAGCGAUUCCAUAUGAUGCUUUACCCAGAGGAUAUGGUGGACAGACUUCUACAACAAAUUAGUUGCUCUUGAGAUUGAGAAUCCCCAACUUUAGAAAUGAAAUUUGCCUUUACACACAUAUAAAUAAACUAACAGAUGGUUAUACAAAACCAAUACGAUCGUUAAUGAACCUGCAUAAAAGAUAAUCUGUGAACAGUAAAAACAUAUGAACAAAAAAAUCGAAUAUUAGAUGAAUCGAACAGAAGAGACAUGGAUUUACCUCCGACUGGUAUAAAAAUUCUAAGGAAAAGUCGCUUUCAUAUGUUCUGUCUUCAUAAUUGUCUUCAAUUUCUCCAUAUGUUUUCUUUUUGGCACAUUAAACUUUGUUGUGAAAAGUUUGGGGUUCGCCCAUAGCAGCGUUGGGUGAUUGAAGGCGACACGAGGCUGGGUUUACUUCUUAGAGAGAGAGAGAGAGAGAGAGAGUAAACAAGAACAUCAUAAAUUAGAAAGGUGUUCACAUUCAACUGAAAACAUAGUUAACAAAUUACUUAACUUGUUCAUUAUAACUCACAGAAGAUUAAGCCAAGCACGAUGGCAUUACGUCAUUUUAGGUGAACUCCGACGACUGAGUUGCCGUAAACAAAGAUGACGCCUACUAACCGGAGCCAAAACAAAAUAGAGCACACAACAAUUUAAUUAUACAGAAUCAACAUGACCCUUAUAAACCCUAAGACUGAUUGCCUAAAUUUAAUGAACAAUUACCUGUGCCAAGAAGAACCAGAAGAAAAGCGACCAAGUUACUAUUCAUGCGAAAACGAUAAUGCCAAAAAAAUCAAUAAACAUCACCAUUUAUACUCCACCGAAGAUAAUAAACGAUAAUGUCGUCUCAUGGUCCCAUUCACUUAUGUGCUCCUUCGAAGAUCCUGUGGCGUACCAUCCGAGGUCAGGUGGCGACGGUGGAGGCGCUGAGACAUUCAGCAACGACGCCAAGAGAGAGACAGUAGAGAUUUUCUUUGAUUUGGUGAGUAGUGUUGUGUGUAGGAAGGAGACGGAAAGAAUAGGGUUUCGAUUUUUUGACGGCGGUUGUUGUGUGUAGAGAAGAUUAGGUUAACAUCUUCGAUAAGGUAAUACCGUGUAUAUGUGAUUAUAAGCUUAAUAUUCUUGUACAUGAGGUUAUAGGUAUUGUACCUCUUAAUUUUCAAGAAACAGACAAUAUGUUUAAUAAUAUAGUAAAGAUAAAGAUAUAUUUAAACAUUAUAAAUAUUUAUGGUAUUAUUGUGCAAUUAACUAACAAAAUUUAUAUGUAUCCCAUCAAACAAGAUGUACUUUUUGAAACCUUAUUUCCAUCCAUCUCUUUCAUAAAUAAAUGUUUGAAUCCAAACUUUAUUUUGGUAUUUUUAUGGUUUUAAGCCCCAUUUUCCAUCCAUCUCUUUAAUACAUAAUUGUUUGGAUCAAAAUUUUUCAUUGAAAUUCUUAUGGUCUACUUGAUAUUUAUAAUCGUCACCCUACUAUAUGUGGCCGAUUAACAUUUGUAAAAGUUAUGUUUUUUGAUAUCUUACAUUUCUUUUUAUAAUUUUUGUGUUUAAUAAUUACGAACGAGUUCUCAUUUUCAUCCGUCUCUUCCAUACAUAAUUAUUUGGAUCGAAACUUCAUAUUGCUAUUUUGUGGUCGACUUCAUAUGGUAUAAUCCUGACUGUGUUAUAUGAACUAUUGACAUUUGCAAAAGUUAGUUUUUGGUCCCAUACAUUAUUAUUAUUUUUUUUAUAGUUUUCAUUGUUAAUAUUUUAAGGUAAAGUUUAUAAUAACUAUGUGUAGUUUUUUAAUGUAAAUGACGUGUAAAACAACUAUUAAAUGUUUUUCUUUGUCAUCCAAAAGGUAUAGGGUUUGAUCCCUUUCCCUCCCACUUAUUUUUAUAUGAAUCAUAAAACCUAAGUUCUGGCUAACUCGUUUGUCCUGGACCCGGGACCCUAACACAUCUAUCCUCACUUAUCUUUUAAUUUUUUUUAUGCUUUUGACUAUAACCAAACUAGAAACAUUACAAUCGGUUUAUACUUUAUGCAAUUGGUUUCGGUUGAUGGUUUUUGUUAUUGGUUAACCAUAAUCGUCCAAAAUGACAUAAAAAUAGAAAUUACAUUCCUACUAAAUAUGAAAACAGAAAAGCAUACAUGCAUACAAACAUGCACACAAACAUACAUCGUUGCCUUUUCUUGAUAGUAUGGUACUUCAGUAUGUUAUCAAAUUCAGUGCAAGGACACACUUGAUUCGCAUCAACAAUUUGCAUGUGGUAGCAAACAAUAUUUCUCGAGAGUAUUAGAAAUACAAAACCGAUAAACACACAAAAAUCUUCAAAUAGAUUUGAGAGAGCUAUAUAUACACUCAAAGCUCCAACAAUAACGAAGAAUAAUAGUUUUUUUUUUUCAUUUUUAUGUAAUUUGUAACUUCUUAUUUUCUUUGUCUUGUAUUCUUUUUAAAUUAAUAAAAUGGUUUUAUUUUUGUUUAAGAUUCUUUGUAUUAAAUAAUUAUAUUGUGAUGUGAAAAUUAUUUUGGAUUUAUAGAGUGUUGGGUACUAAAUGAUGGAAAACUGGUGAUCAUGUGACACAUAUGUUUCAGAACUUAUGAAGUGGGGGGGUAAUAGAUACAUUACAUAUCCAUAACCCCUAAGAAGGAAAGAUUAACAAAUGAUUGAUCAGACUUUAAGCCUAACAUGACAUUAAAGGUAUGUAACACCUGAUAUUUUGACCCAAGUGUGAUGCAACAUAUUGGUGGUCGCGAGUUGCAGAUUAAAGGAAAAGUGUGUUGCGGUUGGCUUAAUGAUAAUUACGAUUCGACAUUAAUGGUGCACGACAUGCUUGAGUGUUUGGUGAAACCCUUACUCUCGGGCCUUAGAGCCUAUUUAAAGGCUCAUUUCCUUUGGGUUUGACUCAUUUGGCAGCCCCAUCUCCAAAAAAAGUCUUUCCACUAAACCAUAGCCUCUUUAGAGAGUUGUGAGAUCUGUUCUUAUCUUUGUGAAUGAGACUUUUGGUAUAUUUUGGUCCCUUCUUUGUGUUCUUGGAGUUUUGAGAACUCCAUAACCUUAUGGAUGGGCUAUUUUGCUUCUAGACUUCUAAGGAGAUAGAAAAAUGGUAAUGCAUGCACUUCCUUUUGUUUCAUGCAUGUAUUUUGUUCCUUGAGGAGUUAGAUUUAGAGUUUUGUUAAUAUUCAGCCUUGGAAAUGGAUAAAGUUGGAAAGUUUAUCCAUUAACUCACUUAGAAGAACCAAAUCUGAAAGUUUGAACCCUUGGCAUAAGGAAUUAAGUCUUAACAAGGAAAUUAAUUCUACCUCAACGAGUGUGACGCGACCAAGGAAGGCUUGUGAUUAUGGGACCUUGAUCGAGAUUGUUUUUUCACCUGGUGUCCACGACACAACCAUUAGUUGGGUUGCAGCGCAUUGACUGUUGACAGUUCACUUUGACUAUGUUACCAUUGACUUUUAACCAAGUUUGACAUUUGGUUAAACUUUGAGGAAUGAGAUGAAGACUAAGGCUUGACCUCUGACUGGUGACUAGGUGGUUUGUGAGACUGUUUCUUUCAAAGUCGUUUGAGAAACUAUGCUUCUCCAGUUUCAGUUCAAGUGAGUUCUCUCACUAUACUACAUGUUAUAAUAUAUAUAUAUAUAUAUAUAUAUAUAUAUAUANNNNNNNNNNNNNNNNNNNNNNUAGGGCUUAGGGAAUAUGUGGUUGUCAUGUACCUAAGCUUAUAUAUAGAACCCUCCAAACUAUGUAGUUUUGAUCCAUUUAUAUCCAAACUAAUCAAGAUAUCUUUUUUACUAUUCUUUCUUAAUCAUGUGACUUACUAAAUCGAUCAAAUUUAUGUUCUUUUUCUUCAUUGUGUCUAAGAACUUAAAGCAUUAAAAGUCGUGACCAUUUAAUCAACCUUACUAAAUUUUAAAUGAAAACUAAUAAAAUAAAAGAAAAAGAACAUGUCAUACCUAAAUCAAGCUAUUCACAAAAUCAUUAGAUAUAGUUUUUCAAUUGAAAGACUAAACGCUUGAGUUAUAUUCGUUAAAAAAUAUUGGUUUUUUAUUUUCUCUAUAAACUUCAAUAACUAUUUGCAAUAGAAAUAUAUAUAGUUGAUCCUUUUCAUUUUAUAAUUGAUUUAAUUCAAUGGUAUUCUAUUAAAACAAAACUAUGAGAAAAUGAAAUUGAAUUUGUUUUGUUUAAAAUUACAUCGUUUAAAAGGUUCUAUACCUAAGCUUAGGUACAUAACAGCCACAUAUUCACUUUUCCCAUAUAUAUAUAUAUANNNNNNNNNNNNNNNNNNNNNNNNNNNNNNNNNNNNNNNNNNNNNNNNNNNNNNNNNNNNNNNNNNNNNNNNNNNNNNNNNUAUAUAUAUAUAUAUAUAUAUAUAUAUAUAUAUAUAUAUAUAUAUCCUUUGUAUGUUAGGCAGUAGAUGUACUGGUAGAAGGCGAUUAUUUAGGUAGUCUAGAAUCGUCUUUUUAUGUACGUGAUUGGUUAAUUGUAUGGUACGUCCCAGUAUCAUUAUUGGAUAAAAUAUUAUUUAUAUUGGUGGUUAUUGAUUCGGUAUCAUAGGGUUGUACAAAGUUUGAUUUAGAUAGGCUUAGAACUCUGGUCUGGCCUUAUUGCAUGGUUCUUGUAUGAUAUAUAACUUUCGGUUAUAAUCAUUUGUUUGACUGUCUAUCUUUCUUUGAGGUUAUUUAUGAUUAUACUUUCAUAAGGCAACCAUCAAUAUUAGUAGUGAUGUGUUGAUUUGCAUGUUUGAGGUGUAACGUCUAGUUCCUGCUAUGUAUUUAACUAAUAAUUAUUCAUUUUUAUAUAGCAACUCGACGAGUUGGAGGCUCCAAACUCAUCGAGUAGAGAUGUUUUGGACCGUGCGUUUUGGUGACCAACUCGACAAGUUGGCUGGGUAAAAUGAAACCCUAAUUCCAUGGUUUUGCACCCUAUUUAAACACCUUAACCCCAAGGUGUUGGCCUCAUUUCCAGCCUCUAUUGCCCUGACCCUAAAUCUCGAAACCCUAAAGCUACUUUGAGUGAUUGUGAGCCAUUUUAGGUAUUGUUGGUGUGUGUUGAAGCCAUUGGAAGAAGGAAAAGCUUGAAGAGACAAGAAGGAGCUUGUAGAUCUAGAAACCUUGCCUCAUCCACGAAACCUUUCUGGUAUAAAGUUUGAACCUUGCCUUAUAGUUGUUUACAUCUUCUUUUAGGGUUAUUUUCUUUGGUUUUGUCCAAAAAUCAUGGUCCUUGGGAGUUAGAUGUCCUAAAUGGGUUAACACCUCAGAUCUAGGGUCUUGAGGGGCUUUCAUGGCAUAAAGGUGCCAACUUUAUGGCCAUGGGAGUCCCAUGCAACCUUUAGACCAUCAUUUUGGCCUUUUGGAGCAUCUAAUGGUCAUAAAUGUAGAGAAAGUUGGAUCUUUACGUGAUCUUUUUGUCCCUAGAGUCCAGAUUUAUGACCUCAUGGUCUCUCUGGUAGUUUUAGUGGUCUUUGGGUUAAGACUUUGGCUGUAACGCCCGGUUUCCUGGUACGUAUUUAAUUUAAUAAUUUAUGCAUCUUAGAAGGGGUACUCGACGAGUUGGUGGCCCUAACUCGUCGAGUAGAAGGCCGUUUAUGCGCGGGUUUUAAGUGAGCUACUCGACGAGUCAAGGUCUUGACUCGGCGAGUAGGACAGGCUAGACGAAACCCAAAUCUUUAGGGCUUUCACCCUAUUUAAUCAUCAUAUUUGGCCUCCAUCCCAGCCUCUAUAACCUCCAAACCAUAAUCUCGAAACCCUUAGCCACCUUGAGUGAUUUUGAGCUAUUUUUUUUGCCAUUUUGAGUGUUAUUUGUGCCUUUUGAAGCUUGUGGAAGAAGAAGAAGAUAGAAGACUCAAGGGGAAGAAGUAGAUCCAGGAACUACACUCCAUUUGCUACAUUUUCUGGUAAUCAGGUCUCUAACUUGAUCAUUCUUCUCUUAGAUCUAUUUGUUUCCAUGUUAUAAAGGUUUUGGUUCAAGAACCUUGGUCCUUGGGAUUAGGACGUGCCAAGUGACUUAUAUCUCAUAUCUAGGAUCUAGGAAGGGUUCCAUGGCAUAAAGGUGGAAACUUUAUGACCAGGGAAGCCCCAUGCAAGCUUGUAAGCAAGUUCAUGGCCGUUUUAGCCCUAAAAGACCAUGCAUGGAAGGAAAGGUCGAGACUUUAUGUGUCUAAUAGAUGUUAAAAGCCUAGAUAUAGUAUAUUGGGCCUUGGUUUGGGGUGUUAUGGCUUGUGGACCAAAAAUUAUGCUUUAGAGAAGUUAGGGUUUGGGUUAAACCCAUUAAAAGGGACUAAGGAUGGGUAAAGUUGGAAACUUUACCCUUAAGAGUGUAUUUCCAGUAUGUAGAUGAAGUUUGGAGUAUAGAUCUGAAAGGUAGGAGCUUAAUCCAUUGGGAUGGCUCAAUCAGACAGGGGAACUCAGGGAGUCCAGGAAAGGACUCGACGAGUUGAAGCGGGCGAUCUCGAUCAUUAUGACAGGAAGAACUCGACAAGUCUGUUAAGGGACUCGACGAGUUGACUCCGUUGACCAUGAGUUUGAACAUUUCAAGGACUCGCCGAGUUGGGAGAUAACUAGACUAGUUGGGUUGACUGGGAAUUGACCUUGACUUUGACUAUGACCAUGACGUUGACUUUGACCAGGGGUAAAAUGGUUAUUUUACCCUAAGAUGGAUUAUCAAAUUUUGAUUAAGUGUUAUUAUGGAAUUGAUAGUCAGAGAGUCGUCGGAGCAACAAACAGGGAUUCCUCACUCAAGUUUUCAGCAGUCAGUCUUGCGAGGGGAGUUUCCUUCAGUAGGAACGGGUCUAAGGCACCAAGGUCGGCCCGUAGUAUGAUAUGUUAGUAGCAGAGUGUGGGCGAGGCCCUUAUCUCAUAAUAACCGAGUGUGGGCGGGACUCGUAUUUCAUAGAAGUCGAGUGUGGGCGGGGCCCGUAUCUCAUAGCUUAGUUUGAUUAUGGAUAUUUUCAUGAUUGUUAGAUUUAGUUAUACUUGUUGUUCGUGUGAUACUUGUAUGUUUUCUUAGUCGCUGAGUGUGGGCAGGGCCCGUAUCAUAGCAGCCAAGUAUGGGCGGGGCCCAUAUCUUAUAGCAGUCGAGUGUGGGCGGGGCCCGUAUCUCAUAGCUUAGUUUGAUUAUGGAUAUAUGCAUGAUUGUUAGAUUUAGUUAUACUUGUUGUUUGUGUGAUACUUGUAUGUUUGUUUAGUCGCUGAGUGUGGGCGGGGCCCGUAUCUCAAAGCAGUCGAGUGUGGGUGGGGCCCAUAUCUCAUAGGAACCGAGUGUGGGCGGGGCCUGUAUCUCAUAGCAGCCGAGUGUGGGCGGGGCCCGCAUCUCGAAGUAGCUGGGUGUGGGUGGGGCAUGUAUCUCAUAGUCAGCAGAGUGUGGGCGGGGCCCAUAUCUCCUAGUUAGCAGAGUGUGGGCGGGGCCCAUAUCUCCAUAAGUAUAGGCGGGCCCGUAUCUCCUAGUUGCAUGUUAUAUGUGUAUGGUAUGUGGUAGUUUGGGGAGACUCGCUAAGCUUCGUGCUUAUAGUUUUAAGUUUUGGUUUCAGGUACUUCCACUAGCAAAGGCAGGGGAUCGGGAUGAUCACAUGGCACACACCACAGUUCUUGAGGAAAGUACGGAUAGAUGUGGAAGGUAGUAUGGGUUCGUAUUACUGAAAGCAGAGGAUCUGUACUCAAAUCAAGGAAGGAUGAGGAGAAUCUAGGGAACUUGUAGUGUAUGAGAUCCAUCGAGUUAUGUUUAGUAUUCUAAUGUUUGUUAUGAUGUGUUCUUUUCAGAAUGGUGGUUUUACGCCCUAGAGCAGCAGUUGGCAGUUCACGUGUCUGUGGGGGAUCAGGCUCAGGCUCUGGAGCUGAGCAGCUAGAUGAAUAGACUAGGGAGUUCAUCUCCUCAAAUAUUACACACAAUAUUCUUGAUCAGACUCAUGUGAUAUUCGGUUCGAUCAAGGAGGGUAUCAUGGAGCUUAUGGAUGAGAGAUUGAGUGUUUUCCACACUGAGGUGGCGGCCAUGAUGGGGUCGCGCACACUCACUUUCUGGGAGUUUAGAGCAUGUGGAGCUCCCGACUAUCAUGGGGCUCGGGACCCCAUUGCGAGUACUAGAUGGUUGGCUGAUGUCGCUAACGCAUUCCGCACCAACAGAUGUCCCAAGGGGGACAAAGUUAGACUAGCAUCCUUUCUUCAGAAGUACAGGGCACGUGAUUGGUGGGAGGAGGUCGAUAAUGCUAUUGGGGAUGAUUCUGCAUUGGACGCGAUGACAUGGGGUGACUUUUCGGCCAGGUUCAAGGCCGAUUUGCACCAGUUAUUAAGGUGCAACAGUUAGCACGGGAGUUUCAGGACCUCCACCAGACGACGGAGACUGUGGCGGAGAUCACUGCCAAGUUUAGGGAGAGGGCUCUUCUCGUUCCAUAGUAUGUGGCAGGUAAGGAGAUGAAGAAGGCCCGAUAUCAUGAGAUGUUGCAGAGUGAUAUCUGCUAGUUUAUGAGCCGCUCCAGCAGCAAGACGCUGGAAGACACGAUUGCUAGGGCUCGUGAGAGGGAGAUUGAUUUAGAGAUGGAGAGGAAGAGGAAUCCAUAGUCGGUGUCUGGCGUGGAGGGCUUAGGCAAGAAUCCCAAGACAAAUUCCCGAGGGAAGGGCCAACAGGGUCGAGGUCGCUGCGGCAAGUGUGGCAGGCCGCACGAGAAAAUUAUAAGAGCAUUCACUAUUUAUUCCUUAUAAUAUCUAAAAUGAAAAUGGAUUGUGAUUUAGUUGUUAAGAUCUAAAGGAAAGUUCUAGUACACGAUAUUAUGAAGCAGUGGAUAUAAAAAUGCCGAAAACAAAGCUCAUAUGCGAAAGAUACUAUUAUUCGAAAAUAAUGAGAAAAUAGCAGGUUCCAAACUAGCACCUACUCCACACGAAGAUAUUUUCGGUAAUAAGUAAAACUCUUUAAUAAAUUAUAAAAUCACAUAUUACACCCUCACACUUUUAAAAUGUUUUCAUUUCUCAUCCUACGUAGCUUCAAAUAAUUAUAAAAUAUUAUUUACGAGUAAAAUAAAUUAUAAAUUAUAUAUAUAUAUAUAUAGUAUGUAUGUAUGUAUGUAUGUAUGUAUGUAUGUAUGUAUGUAUGUAUGUAUGUAUGUAUAGUCAUUAGAAAGGACUAAAUGGACUAUGAUGUAUCACAAACUGAGCACAAAAUGUAGGGGAUACAAAAGAUCUACUAACAUCAGCCUCAAAUAAAACCAUAGCAUGCAAAUCAUUAACCAAAAAGGUUCUAAGAAUCACCUCGUCAUCACGCCUGGCAUCCUCUGUAGUCAUCUGAAAUGCUCGAGUUUUCAUUUUAGCUAUCUCUGUCUUCGGUCCUGAAUCGCCUGUUGAAACCUUCAGGUUAAGUCAUUGCUUACUUAUAUAUCCCAUCUACUUAUAGUUAUAGCAUAGAGGCUCGAUACUCGUACACUCAUAUAUCUUGUGGCCUAAUUUGCCACAACGCCCGCAACUAAUGGUACUACUGCUACACUGACCCUUGUGAGAAGACUGAUACUUCCCAUAGUAACUCGGUUGUUACUCUUCUUCACAAUAAAGUUCUUCUUCUUCUUCUUCUUCUUCUUCUUCUUGGAUGAAUCAGAACGUCCCUCCCACUUCUUCUUAUCCCAACUCUUCACAAAAUCAUGCCUUGGUGUAGCCAAAUCAACCUCAACCCUGAGAGCCUCGUCCAUGGCAACUGUUAGAGUGAUGUGUUGCCUCACUUUCUCCCGAUACUCUGCCGGUAACCCCGCCGCAUAAUGAUCUACAAGUUUUACAUUGGUGGGAAAAUAACUCUGCGUAAAUUACAACUUCUCAAAAAAACAUAGUGUUGCACUUUGCAAUCGACAUAUUACCCUUCUUCAGUUCUAGGAAGUCUCGUUGAAUCCUACGCAUCUACCCUGAAGUGAAAAAGCAUUCAUGUACCUUUCGAAUAAAAAUCUCCCAUGUCAUAGCAUGUCAUGCACCCUUAGUGAUAAUCAGAUCUAACGCCUCCCACCACUCGAGGGCCUUACCCUCUAACUUCAAUAUCGCAUACAUGAUCUUAUGUGACUCGGUAAAGUCGCCUAAAUGGAAGAUCUAACUCAUCUUGUGCAACCAAUGCAUGUAUAUAUUGGGUCUACUCCUCCAUGGAAGACAGGGGUUUACAAUCUGUGCAUGUCAUAAAUAAACUACCCCAAUGAUGGUUAUGAUCCCUGACAGCCUCCCUGCUUUGCUCCUGGGUGACCAAGUGGCUCUCAGCAACAACCUCAUGUGGCUCCUCCUCGACCUCAUUCACAAGGAAUAGAAGACAUGCAGCGCGUAUGACCUGUUGCAUGCGGUCGAUCACUCGUUCAUCCCUCCUCAACUCACAUCCCGCUCCUAGAGAUCAACAAUGAUAGCGAAACUCACAGUGUUGUGUGCGUUAUGUGUUGGAAGAGUGCCAUACCCCCAAACCGAAAUGGCGGAAAUAUUCGAGGGUGGAGGACUUCAUGUAGUAUCACAACAAGGCACAAUAUUAAUCAAAGUACAACAACAACUAUUGUAUUUACAAAGUUAUAAGUUUUACAAUUGUGUUCAAAACAUAAUGUAUAUGAACUCAAAAGUACAAGUUUAAAAUACAAGAGUUUAUAGAUCUCCGUCUUCUCAAAAAGAUGUGGUUGUACCUGUAUCACUAUUUCCCUGAGAAUACAAGUAGUUUUUGAAAAGGUGUCAACAAUUAAGUUGGUGAGAUCAUAAAUAUGUUUGCAACCGAAAUCUGUUUUCUUGUGUAUUGAUAAAGUGAACAUGUUUUACCCAGAAAAUCCUAUAUUUUCUGUUAUGUUAUACUAUAAGCAAAUGUAUAAUGAUUUAUGUAAUAACAACUUGUAAAAUGUAUUUUAGUUCUCAUAAAACCUUGAAAAGUAUGUUUUCUCUGAAUUGAAGUAGUAUUCAAUGUUUAUACUUGUAAGAUAUUGUAUUAUAGUUUUAUAAUUAAAUAAAACUAUGUGAAAUGUUACUUAUUCAUACAAUACUCAUUUUGUUCAAUACCAAAUUGUGAGUUAUCAUAACCAUGUUUGAUGACCUAGGAUCGCCUAAAACACGACGUUCUUCAGGAGUCGAAAUACGGUACGACAGUUGUCACCCUAGGUCUGCCGGCCUAGCUGUUGCAAGCAGCUUAGGUGUAAGAUUGUCAGUCCCGUAUAGAUCUAUACACAAGUGUCAUGUUCUCACACAAGGAGACUCUCGCUAUAAUUUUUAGGACUUUUUAUUAUACUUAAAUAAGUACUUGAAGUGUGUCUCACAAGUGCUAUAUCGAUGAUUACAUGUAGAAUAAAAAGUUACUUUGUAAUAACUAUACAGAAAGUAAGUUUCACAAACUAUAUAAAAUAUAGUUUUAUAUGUUUGUUUCUUAGUAAAGUAUUCUAUUUGUUUUCUGAUAAUAUUAUCUGCUUGUUUUCCAUCAUGUAUUCUAUUUGUAUUCUGUUAUGUACUAUGUUAGUUUUCCUAUUAUGUACUUUGAAACUUGAAACCAAUGAAUGAGUCCUCUAAGUUAUACCUAUUAUAGUUUAGCUAUUUGUUUUACUGUAAGAAUCUGUAAUACUGUUAUUCCAUGAAAUUCUUGUUUGUACCCAUGAAUUGUUAAAUAGUUUGAAAACUAUUUUAUAUAAAUGUAAUAUUUAUAUAACUAUGAUUAAGUAGAUCUUUGAUUAAAUAACUUUACCCCAAGCCCACAACCAAACAAGGAACAGGAAAUGGGGUCAAAUUACAUAUUCUAAAUCUUCUAAAUCCAAAUUAUAUAAUUUACAUAGAUACAAAUAUGUAAUUUUUAACAAUUAUAACAAUUUGAAAUAUACUAAAACAUUUAAAAAUCUUUUGAGAUAUUAACACAAUUUUAUUGUGUGUCACUUGUAUUCCACCCUAAAAUAGUUAAAAAUCAUAUAAAUAUAAGGGUAUGAACUCACUUGAUAGAUGGCAAUUCGUGCAACGUUUCGUUUCGUAGAAAGGAGUUUUCUUGAUGUAACUGAGAGUUUUUGAUGAAAAGUCAGCUUUAGCGGGCAGAGUUUCAGCUUACAAUUGAGGACUUCGGGACUUCGGGCUUUCUUCGGGCGUUAGAUAUGUCAUCGGGGCUUCGGGUUAGUUUAGAGAGGCUUAAAAGUAAUUAAAAGUAGGAGAGAGGUUGAGAAUUUACAACAUAAUCUGGAGGCCUCACUUACUAUUUAUAGGAGGGGUCUGGUCCUUGGUACGAUGGGCAUACUUCUUGUACUUGGGGCGUACUAGUUGAGUCUUAUCUGAUCUUCGGACGUGGCGAGGCUAUGAGGUACAUGUCGAGGCUAGUCUCAUUACGCUGGGUGUAAUCUUUUCGUACGCUGGGUUCACGAAUCAUCACUAACUACCUUUCGGAUUCAAUCAAUUCCCCAAACCGACUCAACCAAUCCAUACCAGCAAUGAUGUGAACAUCUCCCGUCGCGAUAGGGAUGAGAUCUAUCGAAAAUCCCACACCAAAGAUCUCUGAUACACAGUCCCGGUAUACCUCGGAAACCAAAAUUAUACGAUCAACAUCUAUAGAGACCUUCAAAGAUCGAUCUAGGGCCCCACAAACAAUACUGAAACAUCUACAGAAAAAUGUAGAUACAAAAGACUGACUCGCAUCCGAUUCAGAUAACACUAAGGCAGGCAUAGAAUUCACAAGGGAAGUACCUAACGGAGUUGUAACAUAAGCAUAUAUAAAAUAAAAUAACUCAGCAGAAAAUAAAGAAAGUAUAUACUAGUGACAACAUUGGGUGUUGCUCUGGCCUCCUCCACGGUUAACUGAAAAGCUCGUCCCCUGGUCUACGGGGCCUCAACCUUCCCCUGGCGCCCAUCAGUGAUGCACAGGGUCGUAGGAGCAGGAGCCUGAACUGGCUUCGCUGCAAGGAACGGACAUUCAGCCUUCACAUGGCCUGACUGGUUAUAGCUGAAACAAACUCACAAACCCUUCACCUACUCCUUCACAAAGUGCUCGUCCUCUCCAUAUAGGUAGCAUUCAAAUCCCUAUCGACAUGGACCCUCGUGUCCUAGGCUACACCUACUGCAAGUGUGGCUCCUCUGACCUCCUGAUCUUGAAUCAGUGGGCUUUGCCUACUUAGCCACCGGUUACGACUAUAUAUAUUCCUCUUAUCUCUCAUCUGUGUAUCCACUUCGGCCUCCAUCACCUACAACUCCAUCUCAAUCUCCCUCCUCGUGGCAUUAGUCUGCACCUCAGCAAAUGUUCAGUACUAGGAGUUCGUCAUGAACUCUCUAAUAUCCUUCUUGAGCAUACUCAAUUAUUGGGUCAUUCACUUCUACUCAGUAGAUGCAUACUCUGUACAAAACAUAGCUCUCUCAUGGAACAUCUGGGUGAUCUCGGCCACCAUCUCUGUCGUCUGUCGGAGCGACAGGUACUCCUGAGCCAAUCGUUCCCUCUCCACCAAAGGAAUGUACUCCUUUCGAAACAUCUCAAAAAACUGAUCCCAAGUAACUGUGGAUUUCUCCACAGGUGAUAAAUCAGCAUUCACAAACUUCCACCAGUUCUUCGCCCCCAGGCGAAGUAGGUUCAGCGCAAAGUGAACCCUCAAGUCAUCCGGACAAGAGCAUGUAUAAAAACAUCAAUGAUCCACCUCAUGGAAGUAAUCGGAUCAUAGACUCCAUCAAACUCGGGGGGGGCGGGGGUUCAUGUUUAGUAUUGCUUUGAGUAACCCUUGUGAGACUUCAUAGCGGCGAUAGUUGUGGUGGCUACGGCGGCAAUAGCCUCAGUGACAGUGGCAUAGAGCUCAUCAAACAUCCCGAUCAUCGCAGUCUUGAUAGACCCAAAAACCUCCAGGAUGGCCUCUAUAACCUCCGCAGCCACCUAUAUAGCAAUGAUCCAACAGAUCUCAUCAUCACUGCUACCCUGCCUCUUCGAACCGCUGGAGCCUGAACCUUGGGUAUACACCAUACUGAACUACACAAUAAAAAAGCCAAAACCAGACUAAAAGAACUAACAAGCAUAUAGACCAAACACCCCCCCCCCCCGGAACCNNNNNNNNNNNNNNNNNNNNNNNNNNNNNNNACCCUCAAGAUUCCUUCUAAACCUUAUACGGAUCUUGUGCUUCCAGUAGUACGAGCCCAUACUACCUUCCACACCUAUAUAUAGUUGAUUUAGAUCCCUUAUCAAGGUUCCUAACCUUAAAUGCUUUACUUUCUAAGUGCUCGAAAACCACAUCUAAACCCUAAGAAAUACAUCUCAGUUCCCUACCCAGCUACUGCUCCGUUCCGCAAGAAGUCUUUGCUAACCUUUCCAAUGGCUCCACAUAAACUAAAUUAUACAUAACUCGGACUCAAUAUACAUUCGAAUACGAGAUUCUACCCUAAAUCCACAACCAAACAAGGAACAUGAAGUAAGGGUAAACCAAGCAUUCUAAGGCUAUAAAAUCCUAACUAUGUACAACCAUGCAGUUUACACGAAGAAAUUAGCAAUCUUAGCUUCAACUCGAAUAGAGCAUCCAUAAGUAAUCUCCUAGGCUAUAAGGUAUCACAUAGUCAGGGAACCCUAUCCUAAAACUCUUGAGUGAUCCUUAGCCUAAAAACUAGCAUGCAUUACUAUCAGCUCAAUACAACAACUACAAUACAUCAUAUAACAUAGUUGUGGAUAUUUUAGAAGAUCGUUGCCUCGAGAUCCAACUAACUGUACACUCUGCUUUCUUUGUUCCCUUCUGCAAACUCAUUUUUGUAAAAAGUUUUAUAAAACUUUCAGAUCCUUAGUUUGAGUCUGGAAUCCCACGAAUGUUCAUCCAGUGCUCUCAACCUAUGGCUCGGAUACCAACUUAUAACGACCCAAAAUUUCCAAAAAAAAAUUAAUUUUUAUUUUAGCAAAAAACUCCAAGUAUCAUAAAACAAAACAAGAAAAGCCAAGUGUAUCAAUACAAUCAUCCCCAAAUCAGAUUAUCAAAAUGCAGAAAUCAUAAAAAGAUUUGCUAGUCGGAGUGUACCGCCAUGCCUUCGCCUUCCUGCGAUCAUCUGAGGUACCUGAAUCACAUUUAAUCCACAAUUUUAAGCAUACAGCUUAGUCAGUGCUUCCCAAAAUACCCGUACUACACAACAUGAUAAACAGCUAUGAGUUAUCAACAACCCUAGGGAUUUUUAGCAAUCCCAUGGGCUAACAGCAUGCCCCGUGGAUUAGCAACAUGUUCAAGGGUUAUCAACAAUCAUGGGAUUAUCAGCAAUCCCAAUAUAUUAGUAAUGUACUUCAACAAAACAUCAAACAAAAAAUAAGACCCAAUUGGUCAUAGACAUAAAUAUCAUAUAGGUAAAGUAGUGAGAAGACUCACCUUGCAAAUAGCAGCUAGAAAUACGACAACUCUCACACACAGGGUAGACAGGAACAAUGAGACACCUAACAACACUAAAGUCAUACGCUAUCAGCAUACAUCCUAGAAAUCUAGUUUGACCCAAAAGUCAACCAUAGUCAAAAGUCAACGGUCAAGGUCAAUUUCACAUUCCCCCACGUUGUGGCCUCUUAUGGCCAUGUUGUGACCACUCCAAGACAAAAUAGUCGGCAACAGAUCAAAUCCCAUGUCUUGCCCACUAUUGGCCACGUCGUGGCAAUCGCCCAGCGAGAUGAUCACGAAAACACCAGUCGCCACUUCGUUGCACCAGGUAGCCACGAUGUGGGUAUUGUUCAUCUAAUACUUAGUGGAUUAAGCUGGUUUUACACAAUCCCAAUAGCUUAAACUUCUAGAUCUGGACCUCCUCAUGGUCUUAGUGGAUAAAGUUUCCAAAUUUAUCCAUUAAUCCCUCUUACUAUGACAAGAUCACAUCCUAUAAGAUCCUAAUGACAACACCAAGCCAUGGAUAUACUCAAAAAGCCAUGAGAGCCAACUUUCCAACCAACCCCAAGGUCCAGAAGUUAACCAUUUCACUAAAAGGUUCUUGAGCUCACUCUAACUCCAUAAACAAGAGAAUUUAGAUAAAAACUCAUGAAAUUAACCUAGAACUAGAUCUAUAGAAUCAAUGGUCAAGGUAAAGACUAUAUACCUUCAAUGACGCAAAAAUGAGACGUAGAUGAUGGAUCUAAGUUGGAACCACUCUUUCAAGCAACACCCAAAAGCCUCUUCUUCCUUCAACCUUCACAAAGAUGGGUUUCAAGCACUCAAAACACAAAAGGGGCUAUGGUUUUGGAUGGAAUUCGAUCUCAAGGGUGGAUGUUGCCAAUGAGGCAACCGUAGGAGUUACUGCCCCUUAAAUAGGGUACAAGCCCUGAAAACAGCUGUCACGUUGUGGCCAAUCGUGGAUCACACAUUUCAUUAAUCUUAGUGUCACGCCAUGGCACUUCAAUGCAAUGUCGUAGCCAAGCCAAAAAUGCAACAAUUAAUAAUAUAAGACUUGGAAAUUAAUACCUGAAACAAGGAUGUUACACAAGAUCAUUCAUCUUUCACCGUCAAAGAUAUCUUUACGUCUGUCUCAUCUGUAGAUCUUAUCACUGAGCUUGAUUGCCUGACUGGCCUCAGAUGACAGUGCAUCUUUACAUUAGUAGGUGCAACUUUCAGUCUGUAGAUGAUGUUUGGCAACUUCUGUCACACCCUCAGACCAAGGAUGGCGGAAACAUUCGGGGGUGGAGGACUUCAUGUAUAGUAUCACAACAAGUGUAUAAUAGUGCUCAAAGUAAAACAACCAUCAUAAAUAUAAUUGAAAAUUUUACACCAUAGUAUGAGUUUACAUGUUUAUAAUUCAAUUACAAAAUGAUGACCAAAAACGAAAUGUUUGACAAUUUAACAUCCCAUCCUCAAAAGCUAUAGAUUUCCUGAGAAUACAAGUAAUUUUUGAAAUGUCAACGAUUAAGUUGGUGAGUCCAUGAGCUUUUGGAUGAAGAGUUUGAAAAUCCUUUGUUUGUGCAUGUAUUGCAUACCAAGAAAAUCCCUUAUUUUCCUUAAUAAAUGUUAUGUAGUCUUAAUUCCCAAGACCGAGUGUCUAUGAGUUCCGAAAUUUCAACAAAGUGUGCAGUUUUAAAUAGAUAAAAUUUCCCGUAAACUUAAAAUGUGUUAACUCCCUAUGUGAGUCGCUAUAACCAAGUUAUGACUAGAUGACCUGCUACAACGUUUGUAAGACGUCUUAGGAUUUGUAUGACAUUUGUCACCCGUAGACCUGCAGGUUCGGCUGUAGCUAGCAGCAAGGUGUGGGGUGUCAAUCCCAAUAUAGAUCUAUACACAAUAAUCAAGCUCUCCCUACAAGAGACUAUGGUUAUAACUUACAGGAAUUUUAAUCCGUACUCUAAGAGUACAAUGAAGACGUGUCUCACAAUUUACGUUAACAGGUUUACGUGCAGUAUGUUUAGUGAUGCAUAACUAUGCUUCUUAUGUCCCAUUAUUUAUGUUUGUAGUACUAAAGGAAUCUUACCGUAUGGAGAAUACCUUUGGUUAGUAAAUUGUAACUUAACAGAAAACAUAUAUGAACUAUGAAGUUAUGAAAGACAAACACUUUGCUCAACAUGCUACAAAGUGGUAUGGAAAUUGAAAGCUGUGAACUAGUUUUUGACAUUUAUGCACUGUUUUAGAAAAAUCAUAGAAAAUUCAUACGAAAUCAAAAGCCAAAUCCGUAAAUUCUCAAAGUUUAGCAAAUGUGUCUAGUUUAUUGACAAUUUUAUUAUUAUUUUUUUAUAAGUUUCUAACUUGUGUGAAAAUGUUCCUAAUCACAGACUGGUCCGAAUUCAUUACUGAAAUGUGGGUAGUUUUGUAUAAUUCACCAUAAAUUGAGGAAAAUUCGUAAGGAGAUGUGUAAGUAGUCAUUUUAAAGGUAAAAACCCAAACUACUUGCAUAUGAAGCAGUUUUGAAAGACAUUAGGUCUAAGAUAGUCAAAUCAGUCCGUGAUUUGGGCUCUACUUUUCUAUGAAAAGCUGAGGUAUGAGUUUGAGUGACAAUAAGGAGUGUUAACUUGUAUCCCCCCCCCCUAAAACUUGAAGAAAACAUAAAAAUGUGGGGGUAUGAACUCACUUUGUCGGAUUUCUUUGCUGUUGACAAUGAAGAAGGUGAAGUUCCAAGUCCAGAAUACUUGGGGAAAGCUUAGGAGUUCAAGGAAUCUAUGGACAACAUGAUGAUUUUUGAGUAAGGAUCCUAGUUGAGAACUCAUUGAGUGAUAAAUUUUUAAGAUGAUUGAUGAAAGACUUAUUAAGGCGAAUAUGCAUGAAAUUUCUUCUUGGGGUUGGUCGACUUCUAGAGAGAUGAGGGAAAAAGGAAAUGUAUGUUGGGGGUUGCACUUGGGUUUUAUAGUGAAGGUUGGAAAUCCAAAUUAUUAGAUUCGAGAAAGAUAAUUUGAAGGAGUGUUGGUACAAAGAUAUGGAUUUUUCUAGCUAAAUGGACUAAUAAUGUCAACAGGUUGUCAUAGAGUGGUUAUAGGGAAUAGGGCGUGUCAUAACUUUUUGGGUAAGCCAACCGUCCUUUGGAUAAAGUUUUGUACAAAAGAUACUAUGUGUUGUGAUGUUUUUCUCUAGUCAUAAUUUAAUAGGGUGAGCUCUUCGCUUAUUGUGGCGUGACUUGAUUUUAUCUUACUACAGAGGUGAGUCCGGAGUCGAUUUGCCCAUUCUGGAGUCAAAUUGCUACAUCUGGAGUCGAAUAGCCAGGUCCGAAGUCGAUGCGAAAAUUCUGGGGUGCGUGGAGUCACCUGAUUCCGGAUUCACCAUAUUCCAGACUCAGAUGGCUUCAGAUCACGAAGGCUCUUUUGUUUUACAGGGUUUUUCUCCUAGUUUAGAGUCGUGUGGUUGAGGAAAAUUGGACAAGGAGUCUCGAUUUGAAAGUGGAUCUGGUCUAAAAGAGGGUUCCGGACUAAAAGAGAGUUCCGGAUCGACAGAGGGUUCCGGACCGACAGAGAGUUCCGGUCCGAAAGGGAGUUCCGGACCGACAGAGAGUUUCGGUUCGAAAGAGAGUUCCAGACCAACAGAGAGUUCAGGUCCGAAAGGGAGUUCCGGACCGACAGAGAGUUCCGGUCCGAAAGGGAGUUCCGGAUCGACAGAGAGUUCCAUACCGACAGAGGGUUCCGGUCCGAAAGAGAGUUCCUUAAGUAACUUCCCGUUUUGAAUGGUUUUUGGCUAAGUUAGGGGUUGAGAUGCCCCGGUUGAUUAUGAAGAGUUAGGAGAGGUUUUCGAGAAAGGCCUGGGAAAGAUUUCACAUACUUGGAGAGAUUAAAAUAGAUUUUUUCAUAGGCCCUUAUAAAUGUUUUCCUUCGUAGAUUGAAGGUCGUAGGCUUAGUUACAUCCUAUUUGGUGUGUUAUGCGUCCCCAAAAGGUACGUAAUAUUGUCUUAUGGAGUUGUUAUUUCCCUCAAAAUCAUUAGGGUUUAGAAAAUUUCCUUUUUUUUAACAUUUGCAACUUUCAAGUGUUACUUUGCAUUAAGAUUUCGAGUCAUACAUUGAUAAACAUAAAGAAAUCCCUACAUGUUAGCACUAGUCGAGUUGACCAGUUUGUCUUUCUUUUGACUUUGACUUGACCGGAAGGUGAAAGUUGUCACAACUUCGGCACUGUGCAUCUUACUUUCGACAUUCGAAAAGGAAGAACUGCCAUCUAGACCACUUUUGUGGGUCCUCUCCUUGCAUCUUCAGAACCCAACACUUGUUGUCACACAGUUAGGUGAAGAUAAUGUGGGUGACACAUCUAAUUUUCAUAGACUUUAUCCAUUUCUCCACCGUCUUCCAAUAGAGAUUCAAGUGCCCAUCAUUUUCAUAAUGGUUCUUGACUCAUUUCACGUGGUUAAUAAUCCUUUGUUACCUUGAGUAUCUGCUUGUUGAUUUGUGUAAGUUGAAGGUUACAAAGAUUACAACCUUUUAACUUGUUGAUUACAAAGACUGUGUUCCCCCAGAUCUUUCUUCAUGGUGAUGAACUUGAAGCCUUCCAUCCAUCAAAAUGAUGUUCUUCUCAAGAAAAUAGAGUUUUUAUUCUUUCAUCUCUAAAAGUGUUUUUGAUUUUGUGUGUGAAAUAUUGUCUAAAAGUGUUUUUGAUUUUGUGUGUGAAAUGUUGUCUAACAUGUCUCCUUUUUAUAGACAGAUUUUCAGUUGAAGCUAUAUUGAAAAGAAGAAGUACUUUAAUAAGUAUUCAAAUGAUAAGAUACUUCAAAUCUGAUUUUUAUAAUCUUACUGAAAAAAAUUCAUAUUUCUCUUUUUGACUAUUUCUUCUUUCAGUAAUUCUUUUAUUUUUAUUUUUCUGUUUUGUACAUUAUCUAAAGAAUUGAUAGAGAAUAUCUUAUGCUAGCAUAGAACUUGAACUAAAUAACUUUUCUUAGAAGCAUUCUGUUGAAUGUGACUAAAUCCCUCUAAAUAUCUCAUCAGCAAGACCAUCUGUUGAGAUGUCAUUGAGCCAUCCACUCACACUAAUGAUAUGGCACUAUCCAUGUUUUCAUUUUGAGAUUUCUUGGUCAUUAUCAAGGAAAUUCUUUAUAAGGCUUGGAUGUUUCUCUUUAAAUAUUAUCUUUUCUCCAGACCAUGUCCCUGGAAACAUGUUGUCGUAUGUAUCAAGUCAAGUGUUCUGCUGAAUCACUGUGCAUUACCAAUUGGCUUACCAUGAUUGCAAUGUCAUCAGCAUAAGAGAUACUUGUCAGGUCGUUCGGUGACAAAGGGUUGUUCAUGUUCUUGACCUCCUAUUCGAGGUAUGACAUGGUACCAUUAUGAAUUGACGAUGGAUUGAUUCCAAGAUUUUUACUAUCCUCUUCCUUGAUGUUAAUGAUUGGAUGUCAAACCAAAAACUAUUGAAACAUAUUUCCCCCAUGUUUAUGAUCUUGCUAUGGCACUAAUAGUGAGUGAAACAUACUUAUUGUUGAUAUCAAGGAAUUUCCGUAUUAAACCAUACAGUAAGGGAAUUUCAGCAACCCAGUGUCUAGGGCCACGAUGUAGUAUCCCAUUAAAUGUGAGCUAUUAAACAACAAAUCAAUGUCUAAGAAUUGUUGUAACAAAACAUACAACAUGUGAGCAUCAAAUCACCAUAUGUUGAAAAUGUCCUAUGUUACACCAUACAACGAGUGAAACAUUUUUAUCUCACACUAUUCCGUUGUGCAUAUUUGCUUUCACUGAUUAUUUCUCAAGAUUAUCUACAACUUGUUUUUAGAUACGUUGGGCAAUGAUAAAAUUUGGAUUGCUAUGGAAUAGUCGGUUAUUGGGUUUAGAAAAUUACGGCGGUCUUUUUGCAAUGUGUAACACCCCAUUUUAUCUUUCUGUAGGAUUCAAUAUAAACAAAAAUUUGUGAAAUUUGAAUUUGAAAUAUAUUACUCCUUAGACCAAGAAAUCGUCAUAUAAACAUGUAGGAAACAUAGAUAUGAUUUUCAUAGAUAUGUAUAACGCCCAAAUUCGACUUCGUAUGAAUAAGAAGUUAUGCUUCUCCGAAGUUUUGCGAUUUAACCGACGCGAGUAUGUGUAUCGUAAAAAGUAUUUUUGAUAAAUCACUUUUUAUCCUAAGAGAUCUAAACGAGAGUCAUAUUAUUUGUUAAACAAAGAGCAUGCAUAUAAAGAACGUCGAAAUCUGACUUCGUGAGAGGAAGUUAUAAUUUUUCGAAGUUUCAGCGCAACAGUGUGAACCCAUAAAUCAAAAUUCAAAACGGCUGAUUGUUAGCCGAACUGUCUAAAAGAGAAUUUAAUAUCGCUUAAAUAUGAACCAUCAAUAUAAAGAUAAUCGAGAACAGAGUCUAUAUGUAGGAUUUAUACUUUCUGCAGCGAUUCUUAACAGUUUAAGCUUAUCAAAAAUAUAAAUUUUGAUAGAGUGAGAAUUAGUUGUUGAGGUCUAAAGGAAAGUUAUAUAUCUCAUCGAGAGCUUUCCGGGGAUAUAAAUAACGUCAAAAAACAGAGCUCGCAUGAAGAAUUUAUGCCAUUUUGAAAAUCUAAAAAAUCGCACGCGUGAAGUGCGCGACACGCAAGAUUACAUGGCACCACGAGAGAGUGCCACGUGGCCAUGUUGGGGCAGCCCCUUUUUUCCUAGACAUGGUGAACUGGCUCCACAAGGUUGUGACAUGUGGCACCAUAGGAAGGUGACACAUGGCACCUUCUAGAAGACGCGUAUGUUGACCACCGAUAUCACGACACGUGGCACGAGCUCGGGGGAGCGACUUCGUAAAAGUGCACAACACGCAACCUAGAUGCACAUGGUGCACCUGGAAAAAUCACCUAUAAAUAUUCCAUGUCGUAUAAGCUACUCACAUCCAACCCCUAGAGUCUCUCUCUCUCUCUCUCUCAAUUCUCCUUCAGGUAGCCCUUUUUUCCUUAAGUUUAUGUCCUGUGGUGAAGCCCUGCGAGAACCCUGAGUGCUCAGCUAGUUGCAAUCUUCGAGUAGGAGUUCCCGAGUCAGUGUUCUUCCCGUUUAGAUAUGGUUUUCAUCAAGAGUACCCUAUAACUAGGUUACACUUACUCUGCUUUCAUGUAAUAUAUUAUUAUAGUUAUAAGUCGUUACUAGGAACUUAGAAUUAAGAUCUAUCAGUGAUUCCAAGUCAUUAUACUAAUCGAUCUACUUAUGGGAGAGGUGUCUAGAAUGGUCACGUUGGCUUAGUUAUUGGAUUUCAGAAAGGCUAUAUGUCGAAAUAAUCGUGCCUCCCAACUGUCAUGCCUGACUUAUCCUUAUUUCAUAGAACUAUCGGUGUUCAUUGAGAUAAGUGAUAGGUAUCCUAGCUUACCAGAUUCCCUUAGGAUCUAAUAAGUUAUAGAAUUAUAGCUUAGUACUCGUUAGGCUCGUUGCACGUCAGUGAGAUCAUCCGAAUAGCUGUUAAUCUUCAAAGUAACUGUCUAGGUGAGUUCAUCUCACUAUAUUAAGUAUUCCAGUAUAUAUCUAUGUAUGUUAGGAUAUCGGAACUAGUAAAGUGGAUCCCAUAGUAUAGUUUCUAUGUGCUUGUAUUAGUAGAGCUGAAUAUGUAGUAUCUAUGUGUUUGAUUGUUGAUAUGCUUAGAAGUUAUUGAGAAUUAGUUAGGUGAUGAUGGCGAAACAAAAAAGAGGUUGGGAGCCUAUAGGCCCACGUGUUAACGAAAUGGCAUGAAGGCUGUAAGUACACAUUGACGCAUGUUAAUGAAAUGGCGUGUAGGCUUUAAGUACACGUAGACUCGUGUCGAAGACGAAAUGGCAUGUAGGCCAUAAGUAUAAGAUAUACAUGUUAUUUGUAUACAUGUAUUUGUAUUGUGGUAUAUGGUAUAUUGGAAGAACUCACUAAGCCUAGCACUUAUCCAGUUGUUAUAAAUGCUUUUCAGAAAAUUCAGGCACUCCAUGAGAAGAGCAAGGUUUGACUGUACACACACACACUCGCAAUAUGUUUCUGCAUAAUGUAAUUAUAACUUUAAUAUAUUUUAAUAAAUAAACCCAUGCUUAGAGAAUUACUUCAUAAAUUAUAUCACGGGUAAUUCUGAGACGAUAGUAUCUUAUAUUCUUGAAACGGAGAUAUAUGAGUUACAAUUUAUAAUUCGGUUGUGCAUUGGUGUUGCGCAAACGCAUCAGUAACAUGAUGUUAUAAAAUGCGGUAUCAUGUAUCAUUUGAUGAGUAAAGGAUACAAGCAUAUAAGUCAAAUUUUAUUCAUUCCUUUUUCCCUAACAGUAAAAGUGAUAUCUAUGGGUCCCUCGGUGAUUUGGUGCUGACUUAUAGUGUUGGGCCCAACCAUGACUCAAUUAAUGUGUUCAAUUUGAAGUCUUAUGUUGUCAUCACAAAUUAGGAAAUCGAAAACAAAAUUUGGACAAUGAGAUUGAUUCUAAUCCAUGUCUCAUGUCUAUAUGAUAUCUAGUAGAAUAGAGGAAUAUUUGAUCACUUAUCUAAGGACCAAUAUCGGUUUAAAUCAGAGUUCGGCUUAGGAAAGCUCACUUUGUUGUUUAAUUUGGAAGUUGUAAUUUAGUUAUAGAUUUAUCCAAGUAGAAGACUAUUGGAUUAGGCGUCUAAGCCAUUAACUAAAUUAUCCUAAACUUAAAUUAUUAUCAAAGUCCUUUUGGGUUGUCCUCAAACCUAGUAAGAGACUGGAAUGUUAUUUAGAGAGAGAUAUUGAUUUAUUAAUUUAUUAUAUAAUUAAUAAAUUAAGUAGAAAUCAAAAUAAAUAAUUUAUUAAUAUGUUUUGAGAAAAAUAUAUUAAUUAGAAAUUAUAUUGUUUAAUUAUAAAUUAAUCAGAAGUUAAUUGGAAUUACUUUUGGGAUUAAUUGGAAUAAUUAAAAUUGGAAGGACUAAAGGUGAAAAUGUUCAAAAGUUGGGCAUUGGACAAAUUCUAGAACCUCUUAGGGUUGGAAGAAAUCUAGGAGGUGUUCUAGAUAGUUUCUAGAGCCUUUCUUGGGCUCUAAGGAAACUUAGGGGGAAACAAAGGGAUAAGGCUUAUCCAAGGCAACCUGCUUUAUCUAAGCCACCUUGAUCACCUAUAUAAACCCUUAACCACCUCCAUAUUUUGGCCAACUUAUAUACCAAGGAAGAACCGAAAAUCCUCUCCCUUUUCUUCUCUCUUCAAUAGCCUCCAACUUCUAGUGUUUGGGUGUGAGCCAUCAGACGCAUGAGAUUUCUGGUGCUGGCUUUUUGAAGUUCUACAAAGAAGGAAUUUGAGUUUAUUUACUACAAUAAACUAAAAGGUAUGUUUUUCUAAGAACCCUUCUUAAUUUAGAAAAUAGCAAUGUACUUUAGGAUUUCUUGAAUACAAAUUGUUGUUUGCAAAUCAUAGUGAGAACAUAGAUCCUUUAGGGUGUAUACAAACUUAGGGUUUUAUUUUUCCACCUAAAAUAUGAUUUUUGUUAUCAAGGAAGAUGUCGUCUCUAUCAAGCAAGUUGUUUUGCCAUCCUCCUCAACUACUCCAACAAAUGUACCGCCUCUACUACCUCCACCACCAUCACAUGGUUCACAACCUCCAAAUGAUGGAUCCAAUGCUCUAUCACAUCCGCUUCUCAUGACAAUGUUUGGUUUUAUUAAAAAAUUAGUUUCAAAAACAUAAGAUUUAGCAAUGUAAGACUUUGAUUUUGAACAACAUAAAACAAGUUUAUAAACCAACCAUGGAUCUUCUUGCAAAGUUUGGAAAGAAAACAAGCACCAAAUAGUAAAAAGAGUUUAACAACCUUUGUAGAUUUUGGAUUCUCUAAGGGAGGCUUGGAAGUUGAUGGAGAAUGUGGAACCUUUGAAUCACCAAUAAGAACUCAACUUGAUUUAAGAUGCUAGUCUUAUGUAGAACUUAUAAUCUCUUAAGCUUUAAGUGCAUAUCAAAAUAUCACUUAAAGACAGCAUGUGAAAGCAAGUAUUCUCCAAGUGUUUAACCAAAACUAUAGAGAAUGAGAGAGAGGGAAGAGGAUUCGGCUUUUGCUCUCUAAAACAAUUAGUGAAAAUGAAAGCCUCUCAACUGGUCUUAAACUUAAAUCAAUAUCCAAUAUUCCUUAUCCCAUUAAACACUUUAUGACACUAGACCAUCUUGUUCCCCAUGCAUGCAAUCCAUGAUUUACUUUCCUUUACCACAUCUAACCAUCUCCUCUGGCGCAUAUUCAGGUUGGGCUAAUCCAUCAGGUACUUCAAACUCUUGUGGUCUGUGUAUAUGAUUCACCGGACCCCAUACAAAUAGUGACGCCGGAUCUUGAGGGCGAACACCACUGCCCCCAACUCCAGAUCGUGGGUGGGAUACCUCGUCUCAUGCAGCUUCAGCUGCCUCGAUGUGUAUGCUAUCAUGUGUCCUCUCUGCAUCAGCACCGCACCCAACCCCGAUAUCGAUGCGUCACAAUACACCACAAAAUCCUCCAUCCCCUCCGGAAGGGCUAACACCAGGGCUUCGCAUAAUCUCUGGCGAAGUGUCUCGAAUGAGGCCUGCUGCUCAAGACCCUAACUAAAAGCCACGCCCUUCCGGGUGGUGAGAGGAAUGACAAUCUUGGAGAAAUCCUUGAUAAAUCUCCGAUAAUAGCCGGCCAACCCCAUAAAACUCCUGAUCUCGGUGGGGGAUCUCGGUACCUCCCAAGUCAUCACCACCUCAAUCUUGGCUGGAUCGACCAAUAUCCCAUGCUGGUUGAUGAGAUGCCCCAAGAACUGGACCUCUCGUAACAAGAAAUAGCACUUGGAGAACUUGGCGUAAAGCCUCUCCGAUCUCAGAACUCCAAGAAUCUCCCUCAAAUGCUCCUCAUGCUGCUCUCUGGAUCUCGAAUACACCAAUAUAUCAUCGAUGAACACGAUCACCGAACGAUCCAACAUCGGCCUGCACACCCUAUUCAUGAGAUCCAUGAACGCUAUCGAUGCAUUGGUGAGCCUAAAUGGCAUCACCACGAACUCGUAAUGCCCGUAACGAGUUCUGAACGCCGUCUUCUAGAUAUCCUCAUCCCUCCACUCUCAUCUGAUGAUAACCCGACCUCAAAUCAAUCUUGGGUGAACCAAGACGCUCCCUGCAACUGAUCGAAUAGAUCAUCGAUCCUCGGUAAGGGGUAACGGUUCUUGACUGUCAACUUGUUCAACUCCCUGUAAUCAAUGCACAUCCGGUGUGAACCAUCCUUUUUCUUGACAAAAAGGAUCGGCGCUCCCCAUGGUAAGCUACUCGGUCGAAUAAACCCCUUCCCCAGCAGCUCCGGAAGCUGUGAGGAUAACUCCUGCAUCUCUAGCGGCGCAAGGCGAUAGGGUGCCUUGGCAAUAGGCGUCGCUCCCGGGACUAAAUCGAUACGAAACUCCACCUGCAUCUCGGGAGGCACAUCCGGCAACUAAUCGGGGAAAACGUCCGGAAAUUCUCGCAUUAUUAGUACAUCACCAACUGAACUAUGCCUCUGUGCGGCCACUCGUGUGUCCAUCACAUAUGCCACAAACCCACUACAGCCCUGCUGUAGACUCUGCCUCGCUCUAGCAUCCGAACAAAACGCUGACCCAGAACGGGUACCCUCGUCGUACACCUUAAGUAUUCCCCACUAGGGUCUCGUAGGGUCACCAGCUGUCGCUCGCAGUCGAUAACCGCUCCAAAUCUGCUCAACCAUUCUAUGCCUACUAUGACACAAACAUCCCCCAUCGCAAUCGGGACCGGAUCUAUCGGAAACUCAACACCGAAGAUCUCGAGUACACAUCCUCGAAUCACCUCAGUAGCAUAUAUCGCUUGCUCGUCAGCUAUGUAAAGUCGUAGAGGUCGACUCAACGCCUCUCGACAGAUACCGAUGUGCUGACUAAAGGCUAACGACACAAAAGAUCCACUCGCACCGAGUCAAAUAACACCAAAGCAGGUACAGAACUCACAAGAAAAGUACCUACGCAUAUCAUAAUAUAAGCGCAAUAUCUCAAACUCAAAAUAAAUAGAUGGAAGAAUACAUACCAGCCACAACAUCGGGAGAUGCACGGACUUCCUCCGCUGUCAACUGGAAGGCUCUCCCGCGAGCCUUUGGCACCUCGGCCUUCACUGGCUGACUCUCAGUAGCUCGUACGACAGCAGGGGCAGAUCCCUGCAGUGCUCCCUGUGCUGACCCCCGCAACUGUGGACACUCGGCCUUCCGAUAGCCAGUCUGGUUGCAUUGGAAGCACACUGCAAAUCCCUUGGGGCAAUCCUUAUCCAUGUGCCCCUCCUUGCCACACUUGUAGCAAGACCCUGCUCGACAAAUCCCCUCGUGGCUCUUGCCGCACUUGCCAUAAGUGCGGCCCUUCUGGUUCCCUAAUCUUGAAUCGGCGGGCUUUUCCCACUUGGCUGCCGGUUGGUACUAUGUCGGUCGCCGAUCCCUCCCCUGAGACUCCGCCUCCUCCCUGGCCUGAGUCUCAAACUCAAACUCCCUCUUCGGACCAUUUGCCUGGAGCUCGGCAAAUGUCUGGUACGUCGAGUUCGCCACGAACUCGCGAAUGUCUCUCCUCAGUAUACUCGGAUAUCGACUCAUGCGUGCCUGCUCAGUAAACACAUGCUCAGGGCAAAACAUCGCCCUCUCAUGAAACAUCCUGGUGAUCACAGUAACAGACUAUGUUCCCUGCUUGAGGGACAAGAACUCCUGGGCCAACCGUUCCCUUUCCACCAGGGGAACGUACUCAUCACGAAACAUGGCGGUGAACCUCUCCCAGGUCACCGCGGUAAGCUCUGCAGGAGUGAAAUGCGCCUCACAAUUUUCCACUAAUCCUUCGCUCCCAAGCGAAGCUGGUUCAGUGCGAACACACCCACAGAUGCUCCAGACAAGAACACGUGUAGAAGCAUCCCUCAAUGUCAGAAAUCCACCUCAUCACGGAUAUCGGAUCAUGUGUCCCAUCAAACUCUGAUGGCUUCGUGUUGCUGAACUCUCGGUACAGCAACGAGUCACCUCCCUAUGGCCUGGCGGCAGCGACAACUGCGGUGGCUGCAGCAACAGCAGCCUCCGACAGAGCAGCAUAUCGCUCAUCAAAUGUCUCAAUCAAGGUGGUCUUGAUAGACCCAAACAUCUCUGUAAUCUCCGCUCGGAUGGUUGCGGCUACCUCCUCAUGAAUCAAUCGCCGAAUCUCCUCAUCGCUAACACCACUCGUCCCUGGUCUAGGGCGUGUCCCAACCAUGAUGCCUCUGAAAUACAACAUAAAAAUAUCAGAGACUCGCUCGAGUGUACUCGCACUCGAUAACUCAACCCUAGUUGCUCCCUAGUACCCUAAGGAUUCUUACUUGGACUAUGCACUGAUCCAGUAUCUUCAAUAGUACGGGCCCUAUACUACUGACCACACCGCAUCAGUAUUCACCCCAAGUCCUCCUCCUAGGAUCCCAUAUCACAAGUACUCUAAUAUCGAUAUGCACAAGCUACUCUCCAGCAGACCUCUCGUAAUCUCCUCACUGCUACUUACUCACUCUCAAGCAUCUCACAACAACAGUAAUCUCCUAGGCUAAGGCAUCAUAAAUCAGGCCACUCUAGUCCUAAUAUGAGUACUUAGCCUACUCUAGCAUGCAUAACAUAUCAUAAUGUAUCUCAUAACACAUAAUGUAAAGGUAUUUUGGGAAAUCACCGUUCGGGCGCUGGCUGAUUGUACACACUGCUCCGCUCGUCUCAAAACCUUUUACGCUUUUUAGAAAAAUUGUUUUUUAUUGUGAAAUUUUUUCAAAUCCUCAGUUUGAGUUUAAAUACGCCUGAAGGUACAUCUGAAUCCCUCAAACCAAGGCUCUGAUACCAACUUCUAACGACGUAAAUUUUCGAAAAAAAUUUUCAUUUUAAAAACAUAAUUUCAUUCAAAAGAAAUUCUCAAAUCAAUGUUUCACAUAUUAUACAACUAAAACACAUCCCAAGAUCUCAAUACAUAAAGCUCCAGAAGUGUGUACUGAUCAUGUCGGCACCUUCUCGUGAUCCUCACUGGUACCUGAAACACAUAACACGAUAAGCACAAAGGCUUAGUGAGUUCCCCAAAAUACCGCACAACACAUAUAAGCCACUCGAGGUUAUAACUAUGUGGACCCUCUAGUCCUAACUCUGUAACUCUGAACAUACAUAACAUUAAUCACAUAGAAUAAUGCAAUGUAUCACAUCGUAUAAAUAGCAUACAAAGUACUCUGUCACAUAACUCUAAUUACCACUCUAGGUAAAGUAUAGUGAGAAGACUCACCUUGGGUAACUCGGUAAAUCUCGAACUCGGAAAUACUUGUAUAGCCUCCGCCUAAUCACAUUGAUUAAUUACUCUAAUCAAUACGACUCUCAAAGGCUAGGCUAAACUCCCUCUAGGUUCUCUCAGAAGGGUAAAAGACCAUUUUACCCCUCCCAUUGCUCAAAGGUCCAAACAUUGGCUAAACCCUAAAAGUCAACAAAAGUCAACCCUCCGGGUUACGCGGCGCGUACCAAAACUAUACGUUGAGCGUACCCGACAACUUCACAGAAUCGGGGAACGCGACCCCUACGCUGCACGUAUUGGGAUUACGCCCAACGUAAGUCCCAAUCGCAUACUCCUUUUGUUUUUGGGUCUUAAACGGUUAAGACAUAAACUCAAACUCUAGAUCUGACUUUUCUAAGGUCACUUAAUCCAUAAAGUUGAAACCUUUAAGCCUUUGCAUGGCUAUAAAAGUCACCAAACACUACAAACACCUUUCCUCUUUCCUCAUUAAGCCAAAUCUCAUGCAUGACUUAAUAUUCACGCCCAAGAUUGGAUUUUUAUGAACCUACAACACAUAUCACUCUGAAAUAUGGCAGAUCUAGGCUUAUGGAGACCAUUUGCUCAUAAAGUCUCCACCUUGGGACCAAAAACCCUAAAAAUUGGUCCAAGAAGCACAAAUCAAAAAUGAAAAGGAAAGCUUUGAGCUUUUUACCUCAGAAAGAAGCUCCAACCUCUGAAGAACUUGGAUCUACUUUUGUCCACCAACUUCUAGCUCCUAUAAUGGCCUCCUCUUCUCCUUCACCACCUUGAAAUGGCACUUUCAAGCUUAAGAACACACACACAAGCUAAUAAAGAAGGGUAGCUCUCUCUUAGGGUUUCACUCUCUGAAAAGGUGGCUGAGGAUAAGGCCAUAACAUUCCUUUUAUAGUGCACAAGUCUCAUUUAGGGUUUUGAGUCUGGGCCCGCUACGCCCAGCGUAGCUUAAGGUAAGCCGAACGUACCGGGUGAAGUCCGCGUCCAUUGUAAGCGCAUGAGUACGCGCAACGUACUCUAUAGUACGCCCAGCGUACUCAAUGGCACAAUUUCUUUAGGGGCUAAAUGUAACGACCAAAAUUUCAAAACAAUUAAAACUUUUCAAAACCACCCAUUUUAAUAACGUUGUUACAAAAAGGUUUUUCAAUACAUUAUUUAACAGAGUAUUUUUCCCAAGUUCAAAUCAUAAAACACCAACGCGGGGAACGGUACGAUCACGCCUUUGCCUUGCCACAGACUCCUGAGAACCUGAAAACAUAAAACCACAACUGUAAGCCCGAAAGCUUAGUGAGAUACCCCCAAAAUACCAACCACAUAUACGCCCUUCCAGGCUACGACCUUCCGGUCCAAAGCAUAUCGCCUUCCGGCCCAUAACAUAUUGCCUUCUGGCCCAUAACACAUCGCCUUCCGGCCCAUAACAUAUUGCCUUCCGGCCCAUAACAUAUCGCCUUCCGGUCCAUAACAUAAAAUGCCCACAUAACAUAACAAAUCAUAGAACAGCCAUACAUAUCGGGUCAAACCCCAGACCAAGCAACCGUGCACAUAACAUAUAUCAUAUAACAGUUCACAGUCAGCAAAUCGAUCAACAGAUCACAUAGCAUAUCAUUACCCUAACCAAGAUACCAACCUAGCCGAUUACUAGCAAUACUUCACCCUACGAAUCAGUCAACAUACUAAUUACACACAUACGCCUUUCCAUGCCAUGACCUUACGGUCCACAUCGCAAUGUCUUCCGGCCCACAACAUGUAAUGCCUUCCGGCCCACAACAUAUAAUGCCUUCCGGCCCAUAACGUAAUGCCUUCCGGCCCAUAUUCAGCAAUAACAACAGACACUACCUGGAUUUCCAUCCGAUAAAGGGUCGGCCUUGGUGCCGUAGACCCUGUCGAUAUAGUGAGGAUAACUCACCUCGAAAUUGCCGACUGAACAGAUAACCCAAGCUACUUCGAUCACUGAUACGAUCUCCACCUCUGGACAGCCACCAAUGCACUGAACUCAAACAAUAAUCAACAAUUACCAAAAUACCCCUGGAAACCCAUGGUCAACCCUUGGUCAAAGACAACGUCAAAGUCAACCCCUGACUGACCCUACUCGCCGAGUCAACCCGAUGACUCGCCGAGUUCCCAUACUCAGAACUUCACUCAAUCCGCGACCUAACUCGCCGAGUCACCCCGAGACUCGCCGAGUUCAACAACUCUGAGUCCACUCGCCCUCAACUCACCGAGUCAUCCCUUGACUCACCGAUUCUCGACUCAACCAGAGAAUAUCGGGACUCUUCGACAAGACUCGCCGAGUCUAAGAACAGACUCGUCGAGUCUAUGGUUAUCUUCAACCUACUCGCCGAGUUGUUCAUACAACUCGCCGAGUUCCAGGCCAUCUUCAUCCAACUCGCCGAGUUGUUCUUCCAACUCGCCGAGUCCCAGCUCAUCUUCAAACAACUCGUCGAGUACACCCAUGUGACUCGCCGAGUACCACCGGUCUGAAUCCAUACAGAAGCACUCCAAGCCAUGCAAUUGAUCCAAAACAUAGAUCUAGCUUCCUACAACCCCUUCAUCACGUAAAGUGGCAAACUUUACGUGAAUCCAACGAGAUCUAGGCUUUUUGCACUUUGGUUUAGGGUUUGGGACAUGAAAGCUUCACUAAACACUCCAACACAGGGACUUUCAUGCUCUCUGAUUCUUCUCCAUUCCAGAUCUGAGGUAGCAACCUCAGAUCUGACCUCUAGACUUCCAAUUACAUCCAUAGACAAGUUCCCACAAACCCCAAAAUGAAGAAACAACAUAACAAUAGCCCAAGAACGAGAUAUUACCUCCAAUGGACGCCCAAUCUGCAAUGUAAUUCGAAUCCAAGCAAAGCCCCUUGCUCCAAGCCUUCAAUCUCUCAAAAUUCCUUCAAUAAUUACUUCUCCAAGCUCCAAUCCACUCAACAAUGGUGCUUCUCCGCGAUUUAGGGUUUUCUGGGGCUCAAGGGGUGAUAAAGAGGCUGGGAGGAAAACAUAAUGUUCUUUAUAUAGGGCUCAACCCCGAGAAUUAGGGUUUUCUCCAAUCAGCGCCUACUCGCCGAGUCCUCCUCACUGACUCGCCGAGUCGGCUACUUAGCACGCGACCCAGUCGCGACUCUACUCGCCGAGUCCAUCCAUGGACUCGCCGAGUCACUCUUCCACAACUUACUCUUUUAGCCCUUCAACUCUACUCUUGAUAUUUCGGGAUGUUACACUAAAGUUGACAACUUGGAAAGGAAAAGGGUUAAAUAGAUAUACCUGGAUUUCGGGAUGUUACAAAACUUGUUUUAUAAAAUAUAAACCUUAACUUUUUGGUAAAAAAAACAAAAGAGUUUAUCUAGUCCAAAAUGUUGUGCAUAACUUAUAAAUCAUACCAUAUGAUAUAUUAUGUUACUUGCUAAUGAAAAUUAAUAUUUCCAUGAAAUAAAUAAUUUCCAAUUAAUUAUAAGAGUUUAUUGAAUAUUUAUUAAAAUCAGCUUCUAAUAAAUAAUCAAUUAUAUCAAGUUGUUGUUAGUGUGACCCUUAGGAUCAUAUGUUAAUUAGCAAUAUCGCUUUAAUAUGAUUCUUGAGCAUACUAGAUCUUUCAAACAAUUUUGCAAUGCAUGUCUCUCCAAAGGAUCCUACUCCUUUGUCAUCUCCUCCUGUUACUACUGGUUGUACAACUGAUAAUGUCAAAAAUAGGGAGAGUUCAAAAUCACCCAUAUCUAACCUACAAGUUGCUUAUGUAUCUACAGAGUAUGAUAGUGAAACUGUUGCAUCUCUUGAUCAAGAUGAAGAAGGAUUUCUAGAACAUGGCUUUCUUGGUAAUUAUCUUCACGCUACCAUUUCUCUUGUUGUGGUUUUCCUAUCAGUUUACCAGGCUAAGGGGGAGUCUCGGCCUCAGGGGGAGCAACAUGUCAACAAUGACAUUGAAUCAGAUAAUAAUCAGUCUUUAUCUAAAAAGCGCAAGGUUACAAAGUUCUCUAAAGUUUAUGCUGAAAUGGGAGUGUCUAAAGAAGAUGCUAGAGUUAUUACUGCUAAGCAUAAUGCUGUUACACAUGAUAACAUUCGUCUAGAAAAUCAACUCCAAAAAUUGCUUCUUCUGAUAACUCAUUCGUUGAUAAUAUGGUUGCAAUUAAACAUUUUGAUGUUGGGGUUGAAAAUAAAAAGAAGGUUGAAGAUAUUCUCACAAUGAUUGAUCGUUCCAAGUGUGAUGAUGUUCUUCAUAGAAUAUUCUCUUUAAAUCCUAUUGUGAAAGUUAGGUGUUCAAAACCCAAAGGAGAAAGGAUUAUCAUUGUGCACCUAAUCAGAAGAGAUUCUAAAGGAGAAUACUCUAAAAAGAUUCAUGUAUCUAAUCUUAUUAGAUAUGGAUACAGUGAAUGGUUAGAAAUUUUAGUGAUAAUCAAAAGUCAUAAGGGUAUUCAUGCACAAGAAUUGAAGUUGGCUAUCAUCUUAAUGAUCAACAAAAUCAGGAAUCUCAAUCUGGUUCCCAUACCUGAUGCAUCCUCUAUGCCCAUUGCUUCAUUCUCUGCUAGAUCUGGAAGAAGGUCCCAACAUUCAAGGUUCUUACUCCCCUAUGGGACUACCUACAUCAACAAUUCCCUUCCAGUAAAUGUUGAGUGCAUUCAACAUCUUUUCAUAAAAGAACCUGGACAUGGACUGUUAUGCAUUGAUAAUAAUGAUCAUAUAUGCAUCGUCUAUUGAUCUUCAGAAAGCUCCUGUUGAACAUCUUUUUCAUCUGAGACUGGGAUGCAAAAGAAAACCUGAAGCUGAUUGUUAUCAUUGGAUUAUCUAUUAUAAGCUAGACAAAAGAAGAGAUGAAUUGGCUUGUAAUGAUUACCGGUGGAUUAAACCAUAUAUCAUUUCAGAUGCUGAAAAAGGUUUUUUUAAGAUAUUAUGGAAUAGGUUUUGACAUCAUCUGAUUGGGGGAGAUUGUAGGGUCAAACCUUAUACUCUGAUGAGUCAAACAUUUAUCACGUUGACAGCGUCAACGUAUUGUGACGUUGAUCAAGCUUCGGAAAUAGCGUGAUAUGUUUCUUGUUACUUAAAUCUUAUGAUCCAUUAUCUUUGUGAUAGGAGUCGUUUUGUAUAGUGUAUGUGUGUGUGUGUAUACAUAUAUAUAUAUANUAUAUAUAUAUAUAUAUAUAUAUAUAUAUAUAUAUAUAUAUAUAUAUAUAUAUAUAUAUAUAUAUGGUAGUUAUCAUAGUUAUUUAAAUCCUUGAUAUGUAGGGAAUUGAAUGUAGAAUUGUCGUCAACCUAGUAUAUAAGUUACAUUAGGGUAUGAUGUAAAUUAACGCUCUGUGCACUCUCUCUUUGUAAGAGAUUUUCUUAAUCGAAAUUGGUUUUGAUUAACUAUCUUCAUGUUCUUUACAUUGUUUGAUAUUAACUAUUCAAUUACCGAUCCUUCAGGAACAGUAUGAAAGUUGUGAGUCAUGUUGUUGACGGAACAAAACAUGAUCCAUUGAUCCGUGAGUCCUUGUUGAUGACGGAACAUAACGAGAGUCGUGAGUCCUUGUUGUAUGUUGUUGACAUAACGACAUGAGAGUCGCGAGUCAUUGUUUGUAUGUAUUGUGGUAUGUGGUAUUUUAGAGAACUCGUAAAGCUUUAUGCUUACAGUUGUUGAUUUAAUGUUUUCAGAUAAUUCUGAUGUUAGAGGGAAAAGCCUGAUUUGAAUGUACCGCACAUGCAUCAUUGUUGAUUUAUGUUUUUGAUUGCCGCUAUUUUUAUUAUUAUGAUACAGUUUAUGACUUGAAUUUAUGGUUUUGAAACAACUGGAUGCUUAGGUUUUUAUGAGAAAUAGUUUUGGAUGUUUUACUUAAGCUUUAAAUGAAAAUUUGAGACUUUACAAGGUAAAAAAGAAUAGUAUCACAUAAUGCUUGUUGAAGGGUUUGCAUGUUAGGUUGCAUUUGUGUUCCCGAGUCUUUUUUUAAAAGAGAAAAAUUGGGACGUGGAAAGAAAGUGGGAAAAAAUCAUGUUCUCUAGUUUUUUUUUUUUUUUUUUUUAAUGAAAGGAAGUUGUACGAAGAGAAAUUGUAAUUUUUUAUAAGCUUUCCCUUAUAACUUUCCAAUCAAAAGUGGAAGGAUUUAGAGAUAAAACAAUUCAAUAAGAAUAUAAAGAUUUGUUAUUUACCGAAUUUUUCCCAUCAAUAUAUAAAAAAGAUUACGUAGCUUCUAUAAUCAUGAUUUUCUUCAACGCUUCUCAUGUACCUUGUGUUCUACAUCGUCAAACAACUUCAUUCCUCUCAUUUCUUUUGAAUUUGGAAACAAGUAAUAUAAUAUUUUGCUUUACACUCUUCUUUUAUUUUGUCUCCUUAUUUCCCUUCCCUUUUUUUUCUUUACUAAAUCCGGAAACAUAGCUAAGCAUAUAACAUAGAUGCUAACAAACUAAUUACCAAAUCCAAAACUUUGGAAAAAGACCCUUUUGCCCAAACCAUGACAUGAUCGAAGAUACCCAAUUGUUACUUGUUGAGACUACUUACAUCACGUAAAUUACUACUAGUAUAUUACAAAGGUAUUAACCCCUAAUUAACAAAUUUAGUAUUUGGCUAUUUUGAACGAGGGAGUGCAUAUAAAUGGAGUCCUUCGUCCAUAUGAAGGGUGAACAUGGUUCUAUAUGUAGCUUCCCUACUCUCAUCCACCAAUCGAAACUUGAAAAAGAACACAAGAAAAGCUGCCAUUAUUUUCAUCUGUCUAUAUGCAAAUUCCUUCCCUAAGCACAUCCUUGGCCCACCCUAACCAUAUAUAUGCAUUUAAUCAUGAGUUGAAACAAACUGAAAUUAUAUAAUUAAUCGUAUAUCAAGUCAAAGAUACUAAUUUUCUUUUACUUACUUGAAAUGCAGUAAACUUAAAUGGACUUUCAGGCUGAAAAACGCCAUCGUGGAGCCAUCUUUCUGGCCGGAACUCCUCUGCAUCUUCUCCCCAAAUGUAUGUCAUUCUUCCCAUUGGAUACGCCAUGUAAUUUACACCAUCUCCUUUCUUUAUUUUGAACCCAUCGGGUAAAACAUCAUCUUCUUCUGAACUUUUUCCAUCCUGAAGAAUAAACAAUAUCAAAAAUCAGAACAAAUAUGAUAGAAUCGCAAAAGUAUAAUGCGAUUUACCAGAGGUACAGCUGGAUAGAGUCUCAGAGUCUCGGUUAAAGCUGCGUGAAGAUAAUGCAUUUUGUCAAGGGCAGAUUCGGUUAAUUGUAGGGAGAAUUCAUCAAUGGAGUUUGUAUAGUCGGAUGAUCCAGUGGCUUCUUUCACUUCUAGGGCAACUUUUUCCUGAAUUUGAGAAUGUUUGCAGAGCAUGUAAAAGAACCAGGUGAGUGUGUUUGCAGAUGUGUCCUUCCCUGCGAUGAUGAAACUUAGCGAUAUGUCUCUCAAGUACUCAUCACUCAAUUUUGUAGGAUUCUUCUCGCUUUCGAUUAAAAAUCUAGAUAAUAUAUCUUCUUUAUCUCCCUGUUUUCAAAAAAAGAGAUACGAAAUCAAACAUUUAAUAAGGGGGAAAUUAAUCUGCCGUUUCUGGUGAUACGCACAUCGAGUUUCCCGUUUUUCAUCUGCUCCCGUUUGUGUUCAAUCAAUUCAUACACGAAGUUAUCGAUCACUCUGAUGUUUUUCUUGAGAGUAGCUUCAGACCCGAUGUUGAAAUACCUUUUUAUCCUCCAUAGCACAUCGACAUAUCGCCAGAAGAUGAUGCGAUUUGAAUCGUCAAACGCGGUCAUGAACUGAUUACUGACCUCGUCUGAUCCUGAUAAAGUAUCGAGAUCAAAUCCAAAUCCGACCUUGAAUAUCGAAUCUAAAGUUGAUUUCAUCAACAGAUCCUGUAAAGAAAGGAAGUUAUGAGUUAAUUUGUUGCAGAUUUCAUCAACACGAUACUGGUCGUUUUCCAAAUACCUGUAAAGAAAUAAUCUCCUUAUUGACAGCUGCUUCCGAAACCUUCUUCACCAAUUUAGCAGUGUUAGACCUGAAAACAACAGUACUGAAAUCUCUGAGAACUUUAGUUGAGAAUUCAUGACUUGCUAGCUUCCGCUGGUGACGCCAUACAUCUCCAUCUGCUGCAAAUAUCCCUUUCCCGAAAAGAUCUCCCAUUACCCCUUUGUGGUAAUCCCCCUGUCAAUGUUGAUGUGACAAAACGAAAUUAAAAGUCAACCACCCUAAAAUCACAAAUAAGAUAUCGAAUCCGGUGAAGUUCUACCAUGAACGUUGCUGAAAAAUGAAAAGUACCUUGGUGUAGUUCUGGAAGUUAGUUUUAAGAAUGUGUUCGACGUUGAUAGGAUCAGCAACAUAAACUUCACUGUGUGUUGGUUUGACAAAACGGAAGGUGUGAUGGAUUUUUGCAAUCGAGGUGAUAUGAUCGAAAAGGUCGUUGAUGUGUAUCAGCAUACUAAAAAUCGAUCCAACAACAGGUGGCCGGUGAUCGUUUGACAUGAGUUCUUUGAAGUAAGGUACAAAUACAAAAGCCAGGGGUGCAACCGCCAACAGGACUAUGAAUCCAAUAAAUGUUAGCAUGAAGAGUGUUGAAAAGUAAAAUCCUGUAAGGAGGAAGAAGAAGAUGGUAGAACUAGAAACCAUGAACAAAAUGUUCAUCUUGGAAGUUAAACGCAGGUGGUCAAGGAUGAAUCGCUGUAAAACUUGUAAUUAUGGUGAGUUUUUAUUGUAGUUAUCAACUGAACCGGUGGGCGGUGGGACCCUCAGACGUCGACCGGGUUGAGACGUUAAGUUCUCAAUUAUUAUAAUACUAUUUCGAGUUGUUUUUUAUCCUUGGAUUAUAAUCAAAAUGCCGAUCAUCUAGAUUGUUUAAGCACUUUUUAUAGAAACAAAUGUCCAUAAAGUCAUGUUUCAUCUAGAUUGUUUAAGCACUUUUUAUAGAAACAAAAGUCCAUAAAGUAAUGUUUGCUUUUUUUUUUUUUUUUUUUUUUUUUUUUUUUUUUUUNUUUACCUUUGAGAGGGAAAAAAAUGUAGCUUUUAAGAAUAGGAAUUUGUCUUUAGCGGUAGACCAAAACUUUACAACUAGAUUGACGUGAUGAUUUUGAUGUUUAUCUAUGCCAUAUGCUGAUGUUGACUUUAACAUAUUCAUUGGCAAGUUGUUUUUUUUUUUUUCUUUUUCUUGCCGUUCAAAAUAAAAAUAAAAAUCUAGUUAUACUUGUUUUAUGUACUUAAAACAUAACCAUAAUAGUUUUCAUCAAAUUGCAGGAAAUGACAACAUUAUUUAAUCUCCCUAACAAUAUAGGCAAUGUACUUUACUCUUUACCCAUAUUAGCAACAUAUACUUAUAUUUUUCUAUUCAUGAUAGUAGCAUAUUUACAUUUUUACGAUAAUAGCAACAUGUAACAUAAAAUUUAUAAAACGCACUUUAUAUCUUACCCAUAAUAGCAAUUUACUUACAUUUUUUAUCCCUAACGGCGACGAGCUUACUUUUUUACCCAUGAUAGAAAUGUACUUUUUUUUAUCAAUACCAACAAUAUGUAAUUUAACAAUGGUAAAAAAUUUAUAAGUUGCAAUUUACUUAUUUUUAUCAAUAAAAAAAUGAAAGUAUCUAGCUAUUAUGGGUAAAAAAUGUAAUUAUGCUGCUUUUAUGGGUGAAUAAUAAAUACAUUGUCUAAGUACAUUGCUACUUUUCAUAAUUUUUCCUCAAAUGGUGAAGUGUAUUUGAUCUACCUUCAUUUCUUUACUUAAUUGACAUAAGAAACUUUUAAUCUCCUCCAUCAUGACCUCAGACGAUCCUUUUAUUGAAAACUCAUAAACAAUGCCAUCAACUUCAAUCAUGCUGUUACCUGGUAUGUCCUUUUUAAGCCCUCUCACAUCCAUAAUAGCCCUAAUAUUCUCCAAUUCAUCAAAUUUACCAGAUUUCGCAUGCAUAUCACAUAAUGUAACAUAAAAAGCAUGAUUUAAAGGCUCCAAACUUAUCACAUGUUUGGCAACCUUUUCUCCAAGCUCUAUAUUCCCAUGCAUUUGACAAGCUCCAAGUAAUGCACCCCACACAAAAACAUCUGGAUCCAUGGGCAUAAUAGUAAUUAACCUUUCAGCCUCUUCAAAAAGUCCACCUCGACCAAGAAUAUCAACCAUGCAAGCAUAAUGUUGAACUGUUGGCUCAAUCAGAUACACAGUUUUCAUAAUGUUGAAAUACCAACGACCUUUAUCUAUUAAACCUAAAUGAGCACAUGCUGUUAAUAAAGCACCAAAAGUUACUGGAUUUGGUCUUGUCCCACAUGCAACCAUAUUGUCAAAAAGAUUAAAAGCUUCAUUGCCAUACCCAUGAAGAGCAUACACUGAUAUCAUUGAUGUCCAAGCCAAUACAUCUUUUUUGGGGAUAUUCUUGAAAACCCUUAUUGCCAUAUCUACAUUUCCGCAUUUUCCAUACAUGUCCACCAUUGCUGUUUUAGUUAUCAUGUCACACUCGAUUCCAUUUCUCAACAUGUAACUAUGAACACACUUGCCAUGAUCAAGCCACCCUAACGAUGCACAAGCUGAAAUGACACUAGCCAAAGUGAUCUUAUCAGGGUAAACAAUGUCCUUAUCCGGUAAUACAAGCAUUUUGUUAAAGAAAUCAAUGGCGUCCUUAGGUCUACCUCCAUGAACCAUUCCAGUGAUUACAGAGUUCCAAGUGAUAAUAUUUUUCUUAUUCAUCCUGGCAAACAGAUCGACUGCCAUAUCAAGCUCCCCGUUUCUUAAACAUCCGGUAAUGAUUGAGUUCCAAGAUACACUAUCUCUCAUAGACAUUUCAUCGAACACCUUUCGUGCACAUGUUAAAACCCCACAGGAGGAAUAAAAACCAAUCACUGAAUUCCGCACAUACACAUCAUCGUCGAGCCCAAACUUAACAGAAUGAGCAUGAAUGGUUUGACCCGCCACAAAAUCAAGUCUGCCCAUGCAUUCCUUUAAGAGGAAGGGGAUAGAUAUACAAUCUGGCACAAUGCAAUUUUGCAACAUUUGCUUAUACAAAAUUAGGGAGCGUGGUUUUUCGUCUUUGUUACUGAAUUCACAAGAAUAUGAUCUGAUCAUGGCGUUGUAGAUAAAGAGAUUGGGGUUAUCGGUGACUCGAAAAACACGAGUAGCAUAACUGAGAGAACCCGAAGAUGAAACAGCGCAGAAGAAGAUGAGACGAGAAAUGAGGAAGAGAUGAUCUGAUUUGGACAAGUAUGGUGAUGUUAUGAUUUGGCAAUGAAUUUGUUUAAGGUCUCUAAUGUUCUUACAGUUGUCUAAUAAGCGUGCGAUUGAUUUCAAAAACCAGCGGGCUUCUAUCAUUGUUCUAUCAAUGAAUUAAAUCAAAGGAGCUGAUGAAAUUACAAAGGGCAUUCCAAAUAGUUAAAUCUGUUAACAAGUUAUAUCAUUUUAUUAAAUAUUGGGUAAAAUAACCAUUUUUUUUUUUUUGUGGUUUAUAAAAUAACCAAUUACUUUUGAACACCAAGCAUUUCCCAACUAAAUGUGUAAACAGUAAACGCAAUUUUAUCAAUUUUGAAAGUUAUAUAUUGCCCACCUAUCACUAUUAUAAAUUGAACUAUCACACUUUAAUCUCUCACUUUACCCUCACUUAUCUAACUAUUUAUAAUUUCUUAUACUUAAAUUCAUUAGAUAUUCCACCUACCUUCAUAUUCAUAAUUUAUUUAAACCGGUUUAGAUACUAAUAUAAUUCACACCAAAAGUCUUUCACAAUGUAUUUCACAACAAAAAUACGUCAUUCAUUGAAAAUGUCUUCCUACUACUUAAAAUUAAUUCAAAAUGCUAACCAUUAGGUCAACUCUUAGUUGAUAUGGAAAAUGUUAGAAGUCAAAUAAACAUAAUGCGAAAAACUGGAUGUGAAAUCUAAGGUACAAUGGCAACAAAUGCAGGAUAAGCUCCAAGCUUUUUUGGAUAAUGACUUUUGGCAACUUCGUGAGAAAAAUGUAUGAACUAAAAGCAUGGGUUAAUAAAGAGAAAAACGAAAUUCAUGUACAGCUAUCCGGAAUUUAAGUUCAUAAUCUCCAUGCCUAAUAAAAACCUCACUUACAUGCCACAUGUCCUCCUUAUACACAAGAAAUCUGCCACGUGUCAUUCUCUCCACCUAUUUACCAAUUUUUUUCCCCGCCAAUUCAAUUAUUCGAUUUCAAUUUCAAUUUCAAUUAAUAAUCUACAAAAAUAUCAGAUUUGAUUGUCUAUAAUUUAGGAGCCUAUUUUGAUAAGUUUCUGUGUGCUCAUCUCUAUCUCUAUUCCUGCAUUCCUUAACAUUCCUUAAUUCCUGCAUUGAAUUUAAAAUUCAAAUUGAGCUGAAAAUUGAAAAUCAAUUUAAAUAAAAUUAGAUUUAUCGAACAUGCUUAAAUUGAAAUUCAAUUAAUUAUCUUUUUCCAUAUAUAUAUAUAUAUAUAUAUAUAUAUGUAUAUUAANNNNNNNNNNNNNNNNNNNNNNNNNNNNNNNNNNNNNNNNNNNNNNNNNNNNNNNNNNNNNNNNNNNNNNNNNNNNNNNNNNNNNNNNNNNNNNNNNNNNNNNNNNNNNNNNNNNNNNNNNNNNNNNNNNNNNNNNNNNNNNNNNNNNNNNNNNNNNNNNNNNNNNNNNNNNNNNNNNNNNNNNNNNNNNNNNNNNNNNNNNNNNNNNNNNNNNNNNNNNNNNNNNNNNNNNNNNNNNNNNNNNNNNNNNNNNNNNNNNNNNNNNNNNNNNNNNNNNNNNNNNNNNNNNNNNNNNNNNNNNNNNNNNNNNNNNNNNNNNNNNNNNNNNNNNNNNNNNNNNNNNNNNNNNNNNNNNNNNNNNNNNNNNNNNNNNNNNNNNNNNNNNNAUAUAUAUAUGCUGCAUAAUAGGAGAUGAAAUCGAUUCUAAAUUAUCUUUGAAUAAACUUAAAAUUUUCACUUAUAAAUACCAUACACCUAAUAUACUUUCCAACAUUUGUCGUCUAUCUCAUAUUUAAAGCAUCUAAAGUAAACCCUAAAAGAGUUUGCAUUGCAGGUAACUGAUCCAGGUUUUUUUAUCUGCAAAACUGAUAAAUUGUUUAUUGUUAUUUUGAUUGUUUAUGUUUAUGUUAAUAUAUUAUUCUCCUUCUAUUCCUUUCUUCUCUGUUAAAAACUAUUGAUUUUCUUUGGUAAAAACUAUUGAUCAUCUUCACAAAUUUGCAGAAAAAAAAAACUAUAUUGUUUAUUUUUUUCAUACUGUUUUUGUAACAAAAAAAAAACAUAUUAGAUUGCUAUUUUAAAAGUAAUUUUCUGAAAAUUAUGUCUACACAUUUUGACUAUAUUGCAAACUAAAAAUUCAUAAUUUUGUAGAAAAAUAAACUAUAUUGCUUAUUUUUUUCAAUCUGUUUUUUUAACUGAAAUACAAAAUUUAUCUAAUAGGACAACCUGCUUUUGCAUAUGCAUAUGUUUGUAUUCUUUUACUUGUCUUUUUAUGAAGUUAACAUUUUCAAAAAAUUAUUUACUAACUGUUUUUUUAACAGAAAUGGCCUGCUAUUGAGUUCCUUCAGUAAAAACUAUUGAUUAUUUUUACAAUUUUGCAGAAAAAUAAAGUAUAUUGUUUAUUUUUACUAAAGUAUGAUUAUGCCCUUAUGUGUAGGAAAAACAACUGAUAUUGUUUAUAAUUACUAAUAAAGGAUGAAUAUACCCUUUUAUUAUAUUUGAUAUAUACUAAUAAAAAUAAUAAAAAUUAGGGCAACCUACUUUUGCAAAUGUAUAUGUUUGUAAUCUUUUACUUUUCUGUCUAUGUGUUAAAAAAUAUUGAGUUUCUUCGUUAAAAACUAAUGAUUAUCUUUAUAAUUUUGCAGAAAUAUAAAGUAUAUUGUUUAUUUUUACUAAAGGACGAUUAUGCCAUUUCGUGUAGGAAAAACAACUAACAUAGUUUCUUUUUACUAUAAAAGGAUGAAUAUGCCAUUUUAUUACAUUUGAUAUAUACUAAUAAAAAUUAGGGCAACCUACUUCUGCAUAUGUAUAUGUUUGUAAUCUUUUACUUUUCUGUUUAUGUGUUAUAUAAUAUUAAAAAGUUACAAAUUUUCAAAAAAUAUAUACUAACUGCUUUUUUAACAGAAAUUAUCUACUUUUGUAUAUGCAUACGUUCUUAAAAUAAAAAUAAAAUAAAAUAAAAUAAAAACUCAUGCCCUUUAUGUUUUUAUUUCUUAAUUUUUCGGUGUCUUCACAAUUUUGCAGAAAAAUAAAGUUGCAGAAAAAUAAAUUUCCCCUUUUACUUUUCAUCGGUAAAAACUAUUGAUUAUCUUCACAUUUUUUUUUAGAAAAAUAAAGUUGCCCAGAUUAUUUUUACUAAAUGAUGAUUAUGCCCUUUUGUGCAGGAAAAAAAACUGAUAUUGUUUGUUUUUACUAUUAAAUGAUGAAUAUACUCUUUUAUUAUAUUUGAUAUAUAUACUAAUAAAAAUUAGUGCAACCUACUUUUUUUGCAGAUAAAUGGCACCACUAAAUCUUACCUUGAUAGUUGAUGUGGAUGUAACUAAGGAUGACUUGACUUUCAAACUCCGUGUCAUAAACCUUUGACAUCAAAUGUCUUUCUACAACAAAGAUGAAAUUUUUUCAAUUGAUUUGAUCUUGAUGGAUGAACAUGUAUCCUACAAAAAUUAAUUUUAUAUAUUUGUUACACAUAUUCCAAUAUUUUUAAUUAGUUUUGAAGUUUUUGUCAUUGUAUUAAAUAUUUUUAGGGGAACAAAAUCCAAGCAACCGUCUCUAAAAGGAACAUAUAUCGAUUCAAAAAUCUAGUAAAGGAUGGGAUGUCAUUUUACAUCAGAGGUCCAAACUCUGCAACACUGAAGACCGGUAGUUUUAAGUUAACUCCUCGUGAUGAAAAACUCAUGUUAAUCCAAGAAACCGUUGUUACGGAAUGUAACGAUUUUUCUGGAUCUCAGUUUGGGUUUUCAUUUGUUGAUUAUCAAACUGUGUUAUCAUUGGCCCAUCCUCUAGAUAUGUUUGUUGGUUAGUACAUAUCGUUAUAUGUUUAAAUAUAAUAUUAUGUUUUGCAAUUCCCAACAUAACCUUCAUUUGCCUUUUUUUGUUUUAUAGAUGUUAUGGGUUUGGUUAUCGCAAUUGUUGAGCUACAACGAGAUCAUCCAGAUAAAUCAAAACACAGGCUAAACAUACACAUCCAAGAUGCAAAGUUGGUUUUCUUAUAUUUUUACAUUUUUUAAGUUUUAAAUUUUAAAUUGCAUUAUGUUAAUAUAUCAUUCUUUUAAUCAAUAACUAGGGAAGAAUCCCCGCUUUGCGGGGUUGGACACGCCAAAGAGUCUAUCACAUUUACUUUGUAGAUACAUUUGAGAGAGCAUUUUCCUAGAAAAUUACACCAGUCUAAGCUAUUUGUUACUAAUUGCAAUUCCAACACUUUCUAUAACUUAUUCUAAAUGUUUUAACAAACAUUCUUCUAUUCACACUCACAAAUUUACAAACUAGAGAUGCAUCUCUUGGGCCGGUGUCAAUUGAGUUAAUAACCUGCACUCUUCGGCUCUCAUCAAGGGCUGUAGAUGAAUAAUCUUUAAUACAAAACUUAGAUGAAACCAAUUUGGUAUUUAACCAAAAAACUUGUGUCUGGGUAUACAGACUGGAUGAGAGGGCAGAGAUCCGUAACUUUCGUCCGGAUUAAACAUUUGAGAGAACAUCUACAACCAAAAAAUCAAAAUUAAAAUAGUAAAUAUCAAAACAUAAUGUGAUUUUUAGUUGUCAAACUUAACUAUUUCUUGGUCAAAAUCAUUGAUGCCAAGCCCGAAAGCCCUUUAAAAAACGCAUGGGAUUGCCUAUUACCCUGAAAAAAAAUCUAAACAAAAUUAAUGACUUUUAAGAACAUUGAAAAAAUUAAUCAAGUUAAGUGAACGUAUUAGAAAAUAUGGAACAUAAUCAAAGAACAUGACAUAAAGCAAUCAAACUUAAAACCAAAAACAUUUGUAGGGAGGAAGUCUGGUCCAUAUUAAGCCCAUAUACAAAAAAAUCCAUUUUGAUGAUGAUGAACUGAUUCCUAAAAAUCAUAAUUAAAACUAUAUGCCUCCUGGAUCUUCCAUUGAUCAAUUUGUACUUCCAUUUGGGACCUGAACAAAAUCAUCAUUAAAUUUGGAAAUAUUUGUAAAGACUAUGAAGCAAUGUAAUCAUCACCAUCUUCAUCUUCUGAUAAGCCUCUUACAAAUGAUCAAACCCAGAUUCAGACCUAAUUUUUUCAAUAUUUGAAGCAUAUGCAGCUGCCACCACCAGCCACCAUCCACCAUCUUAACCCUCUUAACCUCGUCAAUACGUCUCAACUCAUGAAAACAAAAGAAUCUUGAUAUUUAAAGAGUUAAAAAAAAAUUGGGAUAAUAAAUGCUUAAUAGAGUACAACUAUAUUUAUUUAGCAAAUGAGAACUAACCAAGAAGCAAAAUUUGAUGUAAUAGAUGGAAAUUGAUGAUUUUGACUACUUAUUACUUGUUUCCUCUUGAGCUUUGACAUCCAAAUGUUGAAAUCUUGUUGGUCUAGAAAAGGAGUCCAAGUUAGACAACGAAGUUAGAAGCAUCUACUAUAGCAUGUAAAAUUUUACAUACAAUGGUCAAUAACAAUAAAUAGAAGUAUAAUGCUAUAAUAAUGAAAAUACAGUAAACAUAUUGUUAAUUCUUGCGUUUAUAUUCAGUUCUUUACACAAAGGGCAUUUAUCUCAUUUCUAGUUCCGUCAAAUGUGAAUACAUAAGUUUACCACAUCAAAGAACAACCAAUAGUCGGCCCAAAUUCCAAUUUAGAAUGUAGAUAUGAUCAUAAAAUGCUAGGAGUCGACAGAAAGCAAUUGCCCGGUCCCACUUUCUUCCCAACUCAAAUCUCAUCCAAACAGAAUCCAUCGUGUUCAUAUUCCCAUCACCAAAUCAUCAUAGUCCACUUUGAUUAACAAUAUAAUCAUUCAAUUCAAAAUCCAAUUUGGAUUUUCCCCAUAAUUGAUCAUAAAAAUACCCCAACCAACUAAUCCCCUACAUCUCUAUCAUAUGCAACAGCUAUGGGGAACAGUUUACCAGGUGUCGGAGGAGGGAAGAAGAAGGCCAAAGUGAUGAAGAUCGACGGCGAAAUCUUCAAAUUCCAAACACCCUUUAAAUUUUUUGAAGUGAUUAAGGAUUACUCCGGUCAUGUUGUAUUGGAAUCGAAUGCUGUUAAGAGAUAUGGGAUCAGAGCUACUCCUCUUGAUCUAGAAGAAAAUCUUGAACCUGGAAAGAUUUAUUUCCUGGUCGAGUUACCUAAACUGUCGGAGACGGCGGAGAAGACGGUGACGAUUAGAAGGGUGCGGUAUGAGUAAGCAAUAUAUCGUGUAGUCCCAAAAAGAGAUAAAAUCACGAACAUCAAAUCUACAAAGUAAGAGAUUGGUGAGUCGAUUGAAUAUCAAAACCCAGAAAUCGUGCUUUAGAUUCUUAAAAUCGAACCCAAAUAGAAAUAGAGAGAGUCAAUCAAAACCCUAAUCGAUGAAAAAUCUGAAAACCUGAGAUGGAGUUGUCGGCAUCUAAGUUGUGGACCAUUUGAAUACAAUACCUUUGUUAUUGUCGGCGUAAGCAGCUACGUCCUACAAUCUUCAUCUUCAUGGGAGCGGACGCCCCCUGUAGCAGACCACGCCGUUGAUGAAUUUUUUGAGUAACGGUGAGAAUUUUUUGAGUAAACGUGCGAGUUGUAGGAAGUCAUCGAGGUUGGAGAACGCGGCUGUCACCACCGCCGUCGGAGGGAGGCAGGCAGAAAAGAAGAGAAAGGAAAGGAAAACAAAAUUUUCUUUUGUGUUUCCGAGUUGGAGAGAAGUGGAAGGAAAAUUAAUCAUUUUCUUCUUUCCUUCCAAAUCCUCCCAAAUCGGAAGGAAAGAUAGGAGGGAAAGUGAUCCUUCCAUUUCUCUCCACUUCCUUCCUUUAAUGAAACUCGGGAACACCAAUUUUUUUCAUUUUCUUCUCAUUUCCACCCAUUUCCUUUCCUUUCUCUCGUUAAGUUCAACUCGGGAACGGGGUGGGAGUGAGAGGGAGGAAGAGGCGACCGGUGGAGAGAAAGAGGAUUAAUAAAGAUCAGUUAGAAGGCAAUACCAUUCUAACCCAGGAAGAAAUUGAAAGCGGUGGAAGGAAAUUAUGUGAUUGGGCAUGGGAGGCGGUGAGGAAAUAAACUGUCAAUGAAACGUGAAAAAAUAAGAAACCACAUACAUACACGUAGCAGGCAUCGACCUAUGAUCUCUCAAUGAAGUAAUAUAUAAAAUUAAAUUAGAAACUACAAGAAAUAUAAGAAAUAAAAAAAAGUUCCAGUCAAUCACAGCCAAGUUCAAGUGGCACUUUAGAAUUAGUAUCUAUAUAUAACUGAACAUGCACAAAUAAACAAAGGACUAAUUUUGCCAACCCUUAGUCACUUUACUGUAGCUAAGGAUAGAGAAUUUUAAUAUAUAGUAUAAUUUACUUUACAGAGGUUUGCAACUUCGUGCCAAUUUGUGGGGCGAUUAUGCGUACAAGAUGCAAGAGUAUAUACAUAACAAUCCAGACAAUCAUCGUAUAGUUGUUAUUCUUCAGUUUGGUCAGAUUAAUGUCUAGAGAGGUAUAUUGAUUGUGCUAUUAAAACUUAUGUUAUCAUCAUUAAAAUAAUCUUUAUAUAUUUUAAUUUAUAGAUCGUCCAAGUAUAAAACACCUACUUUACCUUUUCCAAGUUGUUCAUUAACUCUGACAUAGAUGAAGUUAUUGAUUUCAACAAAAGGUAAUUUAUGUUUUAUUGUUUUUAUUGUACAAUUAAAGUUUUUGGAACUAUAUAUAUAUAUAUGUAUACAUAACAGUUUGGAUGGAGAUGAUCGUCCGGAUUCAUCUACAAAUACAUUUUCAGUUAUUCCAUCCAAUCAACUUUCAGAAUAUGAUGAUUUCAUGGUAAAAAAUAAGUUGAAGGCUAUCGCUAAGGUUUGGGAACCCGUCGAGGUAUUUCAUGUUUUACUGUUUGUUUCGAUUUAUUUUGUUUUUUAAUUUUUUGUGAUCGUGUGUUCGUGUUUUUUUAUGUUCGUAUUAUACAAUUUAAAUACAUUUCGUUUGCAUUUGUGUUAGUUAUGUUAAUUUAGAGUACAUACUUUUUUUUGCAGGAAUGUAAUUUCGUUAUCGUGGGCACUAUAAAGGGUAUUUUACAGAAUCUUAAAUGGUAUUAUCAAGCAUGUACCAACUGUUUCGGAAAUGCAGUUCCAUCAGAUGAAGCUAAUGAUCUAACCAAAUCUUAUAAAUGUCAUAAUGAAAAUUGCACAAAAACUACCACUUAUGUUGUUCUAAGGUUGUUACUUUACAGUUUACACUUUAAUCAUAAUUAACUAUCUAAUAUUCCAUGUUUAUCACAAGAUUAAUAUUAUUUUCUAUUUUUAUUUUUUUAUAUGUUUAUGAUUCCUAUACGUGUGCAAGAUAAUACUGGAACUCUAACCUUAACCAUGUUUGAGAGAGAAGGGAAGUAUUUGUUGAAGAAAUCAGCAAAAGAGUUGGUUAAAAAAAUAGAACAGGUCUUCUACUUAUUUAAUGAUUAUUAAAAUAUUUUCUUAUUCACAAUCACUUUAAACAAAAUGUUUUUUUUUUAUUAUUUUUUUAAUUGCAGCUUGGAGACAAUCUUGAUUUUUAUCCAGGAAAGUUAAUGUUUUGAAAGGUUUGAAAUUAGCCUUCAAAAUUUCUAUUAAAAAUUUCAAUGUGUCCAAAAAAAACAACCAAUAUGGUAUUGCUAGAAUCAGUGAUGAUGAGAGUUUAAUCCAACAACUUGAAAAUAAGUUGACUGAGUCACAGGUUAUUUUAUUACUUAUUUUUGUGGUUCUUCAUUUAAAUACUUUUUUACUUUUUAGUACAUUAUUUUAUUGUUUAUUUUUUGUAUUAUACAACUUUCUAAUUCACAGUCAUUAGAUUUUGGUUCGGCGGAUUUGCAAUAUCAACAGACCAGAAAUUUAAAGGUUAAACACAUUUUUAAUUUAUGAAAACGAAACUUCAUUAUAGAAAUAAUUAUAUUAUACGAUUAUAUUUUUUUAGGAUGCAAUUUUUGGCACGGACGAUAAUAUAACUCCUUCCACUAUCGACAAACGAGACAACAAGUCCAAUGAAGAGUUUGACCACAACACUGGUCUUAAAGCAAAAUCUUGAAGAGGUUUUCGAUUUAGAGUUGAAUUAUCACUUAUCAUCAUCAAAAGCUCCAAAAAUAUCUCCAGAUGGUCCAGGAAAACAGUUGUUGAAGGUAAAGUUUGAGAAAAAUGAUUGAGUUAUGUUUUGGUGGGGAAUCUGAAAAGUUAUUUAUAGUAAAGUUUCAUAAUUGUUAACAACAAGCUGUAUAUGAGGCAGACGAUGACAUUGAAGAUGUUCUUGAUCGUCCUUCAAUUGCUUCUUCAAUGUUCACAUCUUUGAUGAAAUGUAAUGAAAUCAAUAAAGAAGCACGAAAACUUACAUAUGUUGAAUUUCCUACAAAGUUUAUUUGGAAACGUAAAGGUCUGUUUUGGAAGCCAAGGGAAGUUGGAUAUGCAAUUGAUAGAAUUCACUCGGUUUCACCUAAACUUGGAGAAGCAUAUUUCUUAAGAAUUCUUUUAAAUAAAGUGAAAGGUCCUAAAUCAUUCGAUGAAAUUCACACAGUCAAUGGUGAACUAUGUUCUUUUAAAGAUGCGUGUUAUAAUCUUGGCCUUUUAGAUGAUGACAAAGAAUUUAUUGAUGCAAUUAAGGAAGCAAGUCUUUAUGGAUCUGGUUUUUAUCUACGGUUCUUAUUUGCUACGAUGCUAUUGUCCAACUGUUUGUGUAAACUAGAGAUUGUUUGGCAAAACACCUGGGAAUACCUGUCAGAUGGAAUUCUUUACCAGCAACAACAGAGAUUAAAAGUCUCCAGGUAAUCUAAAUUUUUCUCAUUAUUAUUAAAAGAUUAUCAUAUAAAAUUUUAGUAUAAAUUCAAUUAUAUUUUACAUUUUAAUCAAUUUGUUUUUUAUACGUUUUGAUUAAUAUAUUAUUUUACCUUAGGUUUAUCAUUAAACAAAGAUCAAGUUAAAAACUUGACUUUGUUUGAGAUAGAACAAAUUUUACUUUGUAACAAUUCCAUCCUUAAAAAUUAUGGAAAGAUGCCUUACCCAGAUGUUGAUUCUGUUUCAUCUUCAAACAAUCGUCUUAUUACCGAGCAGCUAGAUUAUGACAUGCCCAAUUUAAAGAACAAGUUUGAUCGGCUAUUUUUUGCAUUAACAAAUGAGCAACGGGACAUUUUUCUUGAUAUCAUGGAUGCAGUUAAACAUAAUAAGGGAGGUGUAUUCUUUGUUUAUGGUUAUGGUGGAACAGGUAAGACAUUUCUUUGAAAGACAAUUUCUGCAGCAAUUAGAGCUCAAGGUCAGAUUGUUUUAAAUGUUGCUUCAAGUGGGAUAGCUUCAUUAUCAUUGACUGGAGGCAGGACAACACACUCUCGGUUAAUAAUUCCCAUAAAUCUUCCCGAGGAUUCUUUUUGUAGAAUAAAUCCAAAAAGUGAUCUUGUCGGUUUAGUAAGAAAAACCUCAUUGAUCAUUUGGGAUGAAGCACCCAUGGUACACAAACAUGCAUUCAGAGCUUUAGAUCGAACUUUCAAGGAUAUAUUAAAGUGUGUCAAUCCUACGAAUUCAAAUAUUCCAUUUGGAGGGAAAGUGAUUUUUUUUGGAGGUGAUUUCAGACAAAUUUUACCUGUUGUUCCAGGUGGCAGUAGACAAAACAUUGUUAAUGCUUCUUUAAGUUCUUCCUAUUUAUGGCAACAAUGUAAAGUUCAUAAAUUAACAAAAAACAUGAGGUUAACUGUUGGAAGCGAUCCAUCUGCUAUUGAAGAAAUAAGGGAUUUUGCAAAUUGGCUUUUGGACAUAGGAGAAUGUAAUCUUAGUGGUCUGAAUGACGCUGAAGCGAUUGUUGAUAUUCCACGAGAUAUUAUUAUUACUAAUCCACAUGAUCCUAUAGGUUCAUUAAUCAGUUUUCUAUAUCCUUCUAUAUUGGAAAACUUCAACAUUGUUGAUUAUUUUCAAGAAAGAGCAAUACUAGCUCCCAAGAAUGAAGUUGUCCAAGAAAUAAACGAACGUUUAUUGUCAUUGUGUCCAGGAGAACAAAAAGAAUACUUAAGUUCAAAUUGCCUAUCCCAAUCCGAGUUUGUUCAUGAUGAGUUUGAUGCAAAUUUAUACUUACCUGAUGUUUUAAAUGGUGUUAAAGUCUCAGGUCUUCCAAACCAUAAGCUCAUUUUAAAAGUCAGUGUUCCAGUUAUGUUAUUGAGAAACAUUGAUAAAAAAAAUGGCUUAUGUAAUGGGACUAGACUACAGGUUAAAUCUUUGGGCAAACGUGUUAUUGAGAUAGUUAUCUUAUCUGGAAGUAAUAUUGGAAACCGGACUUUUAUUCCAAGAAUGUCUUUAACUCCUUCUAAAGACAAGAUCCCGUUUAAAUUCCAAAGAAGACAAUUUUCAUUGGCUGUGUGUUUUGCAAUGACAAUUAAUAAAAGCCAAGGACAGUCUUUAUCGAAGGUUGUUUUGUCUCUGAAGGAGCCUGUUUUCACACAUGGUCAAGUGUAUGUUGUUUUAUCUAGAGUUCAAAGUAGAGAAUGAUUAAAAUUGUUGAUUUUAGAUAACGAUGGUAGACUAACAAAUAAAACAUUCAAUGUUGUGUAUAAAGAAGUUUUUAGAAAUUUGUAAAAAAAAAAAAACUUUGUACAAUUUUAUUAUUUAUAUAGAUUUGAGUAUUUUUUUUAGUUAAAUUUAAAUUUUAUUUUAUAAAAUUAUAAUUUUUUUGCAUAUCUACAAAUACAAAUUGCCAAUUGCAUAUUCAAACAACUAUUGGUUCGUAAUUUCAACCAAUAGUUAUGUUAUCAUAUUACUGUAAAACAUAUACACUUUUUAAUUACUAAAUAUUUUAUUAUUAAUUUUCAAUAAAUAAGUUUCAAUUUAAUUAAAAAAAGUUUUAAAUUUCUAACUCGUGGUGCCCACGGGUUAUAACCUAGUAAUACAAUAAAGAACAUCGAAAUCUGAGUUUUAAUGAAUAAGUUAUGACCUAUCGAAGUUUCGCGACANAUAUAUAUAAUAUUAGAAAAAAAGAUUUCACUUUGAUUUGUGGGUUUGUAACAACUUCUUUGCAAAACAUAUAAUGUAUUAACAAAGGGUCCCCUUCACACCAGCAAGAAUACUGAACCACCAACUAAAGCACGAAUGCCGGAAAAAAGCCCACAUACAAGUUGGUGUUGUAGCUUACCAAGAGACACCAAUCGGAGGUUUGCACGACAUAGUAAAGAGAAGCCUCGAAUGGACUUUCAUGUUGGAUAUCAAACCAUCCAAGUUAGUUAAUUUCAAAAAUAAAUGUUGGCUAGGACAUCAUUUUGGAGUUUGUUCCAAACCGAUAUGCACAUUUCAUAUUGGAAUGUUCUUUGCAUUUCAGACUACAACAGAUCAUUGCAGAAUAGUUGAAGUUUGGAUGAAGGCAAAAAACAAGACCCUAUACUAGUUUUCUAAGUUAUCAAAGGGUCACUAAUGAAAAAUAAAUGGGAAAAUACCGGCAAUAGUCAAAAAAUAGGGGGUAUUUUCAAAAUUUAGACAUGAAAAUGGACAUUUCCGGGUAUAGACAUGCAUUCCGCGGAGGUAGCACCGCGGAGCUCCGCAGAAUCUACUGUAACUCCACGGAAUGGCAAAAUCGUAAAUAAAUUAGUGUAUUAAAAAAAACUCAAGAUCCAUUCCGCGGAGCUACAGUGGAUUCUGCGGAUGUAGCUCCGAGAAUGGAUCUUUAGUUUUUUUUUCAAAUCGAUUCUUCGGGGUUUAUAUUCAUUCCCCCAACUAAUUAUUUUCAAGAAAAGAUUAUGAUAGUAUGAAUUNUAUUAAACUGAAGAUCCAUUCCUCAGAGCGACCUCCGCGGAAUGCAUGUCUAUACCCGGAAAUGUCCAUUUUCAUGUCUAAAUUUUGAAAAAUACCUCCCAUUUUUUUACUAUUGUCAGUAUUUUCCUAAAAUAAAUUAUCCAUCUAACUCAUUCAUUCUAUCCAACUAAUCGAUCCAUCUACCUAGGUAUCCAUAACUCCAUAUAACUCAUCGUCCAUUUGUUCGUCUUUCUAUAAACUAGUGUUGCAAAAUCGGCCUACUCGGCCGAGUACUCGGAAUCGGCCCUCCACCGAGGCGAGUUAUGUAAACUCGGCAAAAAGACCUAGAUUAAGUCAAACUCGGUCAAAAAUCGGUUAACCUCAGUCAAAUCUCUCUAACUCGGCCUACUCGGUCAAACUCACCCAAAGGGUCAAAAUUGUCAUAAAAAUAGAAAAACAAAUAUUUUCAAGAUUAAUAUGUGUAAUACACUUAAUGAUUUAUUAUUUAACACACAUGUGAUUAUUAUUAUUAUUAUUAUUAUUAUUAUUAUUAUUAUUAUUAUUAUUAUUAUAUAUAUAUAUAUAUAUAUAUNNNNNNNNNNNNNNNNNNNNNNNNNNNNNNNNNNNNNNNNNNNNNNNNNNNNNNNNNNNNNNNNNNNNNNNNNNNNNNNNNNNNNNNNNNNNNNNNNNNNNNNNNNNNNNNNNNNNNNNNNNNNNNNNNNNNNNNNNNNNNNNNNNNNNNNNNNNNNNNNNNNNNNNNNNNNNNNNNNNNNNNNNNNNNNNNNNNNNNNNNNNNNNNNNNNNNNNNNNNNNNNNNNNNNNNNNNNNNNNNNNNNNNNNNNNNNNNNNNNNNNNNNNNNNNNNNNNNNNNNNNNNNNNNNNNNNNNNNNNNNNNNNNNNNNNNNNNNNNNNNNNNNNNNNNNNNNNNNNNNNNNNNNNNNNNNNNNNNNNNNNNNNNNNNNNNNNNNNNNNNNNNNNNNNNNNNNNNNNNNNNNNNNNNNNNNNNNNNNAUUAAUUAUGUAUAUUUCAGUUUUUAUGUAUUCACAUGUAUCUAAUUUUGUUAUAUAUAUUAAUCAAAUUAUGAUUUUAACUUACGAUUUUGAUAUAUAUAAGUUUAACUUAAAAUUUUAAUCAAAAAUAUUUCUAAAAAUAUUUCUAUAUAUAUAAUUUUCCUAAAAAUAUUUUUGUUUUUAGUUAUUCACGAGUAAUUAUUCACGAAAUGAAACAAUUGGGGUUUUUCAAAUUUUAAAAUUAAAAAUCUACAUAAUACUUCUAUUUAAAUUUAAAUAUGUAAUGAAUUUAAUGUUUUAAAUGUUAUGAACCUGGUAGUCAUUUCCAAGCUUCUAAAUGGCGUGAGGCGUGGCGUGGCGGCAAGGCCAAACCUCAAGCUUAACGAGCCAUGGCGAGUCACGGCGUUUUUCAAGGCGUGAUGUAAGGCGGCUGUAUUAAUUUAAAAUUAUAUUACCACAUAAAUAUAAAUUUAUAUUUAAUAUAACUAGUUAUUAGAAGUGUUAGAUCAAUAACUAAUAACAAAAGGUUAUCAAAAACCACAAUACUUGUAUCUCCAAUUAGAAAAGACAUAACGAAGAGAAAAAAACUGUGUCUCAAACGAAAAAAACACGCGCCAUAACAUGCCAUAACGCGCCAUGGCGCGCCAUAUCACGCCUUGCCACAUGUUACGCCUAACAGCAACGUUAUGAAGCUUUUCGUAACGGCAAAGCCACGCCUCACGCCAUGGCGCGCCUUGGCGCGCGCCAUGGCGCGCCUUUUAGAACACUGGUCAUUUGCAAUUAAUAUGAUUUAUUCAUUCCUUAUAUACUUAAGGAAAGCCUUAAUUACUAGUUACUAACCAUCAGAGCUCAAACGUUGAAUCAGAGUACUAAUCUUUUGUAUUUAGAGAUGGAGAGAAGAGAUGGAAACAAAAACUUCUCAUUAAAUGAAAAAUGAUAACUACUAUUGUAUACGUACAAGAAAACUACUAGAACAAGUGGUUAUAGCUUUAUAUCUACAAAAUUACUAAACUACCCAUCUGCAUGUUUACAAUCGUCUAAUAUUCCCCCUCAAGCUUUAUCUGAAGAAUAUAUGUUCUUGAGAGAAAGCUUGGACAUGAAAGGAAUUAACUUUGAAGUUGGUAAUGGUUUAGUAAACAUGUUUGCAAUCUGUAAUUCAAAGCGAACAGGCAUGAGUUUAUUGUUUUGUCCUCGACUUUUUCUCGUAUGAAAUGACAGUCCAUGUCAAUGUGUUCUGUACACUCGUGAAAAGUUGGAUUGGAUGCAAUUUCAACAGCUGAUUCGUUAUCAACAAAAAGUAAUGUCAGCAUAGAGUGGAAAAUACCAAAGUCCAUAAGAAGUCGUUUUAACCAGACUAAUUCACAACAAGUUGAAGCCAUUGCCCGGUACUCUGCUUCUGUAAAUGAUAUGGACACUGUUGAUUGCCUUUUAGAUCGCCAUGAGAUAAGUGAAUUACCCAGAAAAACACAAAAACCAGUUGUAGAUCUUUUGGUUUAUGGACAUUUAGCCCGGUCAAAAUCACAAAACGCUUUCAGCUGAAAAGAAGAUGUUUUUGAAAAGAAUACUCCUUGACCCGGAGUAGAUUUUAAGUAAUGUAAAAGAUGAUUAGCCGCAUCAAGAUGAGUUCGGCUUAGACAUGAACUGAGAUAAUCUUUGUACAGUGUAUGUGAUAUCAGGUCUUGUGAUGUUGAGGUAUAAAAGCCUCCCAACCAAUCAUCUAUAUUUUGUUGGAUCUACAAGCACCUGACCAACAUCUUUACGGAGGAUUUGUAUGGGAUCCAUGCAAGGUUUUGAAAACCGGACCGGAGACCGAACCGUUCGUCUUACUGGUUCGAUGGUUCAAGUGGUCCAACCGGUCGGACCGGUCUUAAAAACCGGAAAAACCGGAUGAUGUCAUAAAUAUAUUUAAUUAUAUAAAAAAAUACAAAAAAUGAAAAAAAAAAAUAAAUAUUUUUUAAAAUAUCCGGUUUUGCUGGUUCAACCGGUUUUUACCGGUUCACACGAAUACCAGUUUUUUGGCCUUUAAGAACGGGUCGAACCGGUCGGUCCAGUCUGGUUUUCAAAACAUGGGAUCUAUGGGAUUAUGUCGUGGUUUGGUUGCUAAAAGACCCGCAUCUUCAAGUAGCUUUAGAGUAUAAUUCCUAUGUGACAAAAAAAUACCAUGUUGUGACUUUGCUACCUCAAGUCCCAAAAAAUAACCAAGACUGUCCAAAUCUUUUAGUUUGAAUUCUUGAUGUAGCCUUUGUUUUAAAAAGUGAAUCCCUUGAGAAGAUUGGCCUGUAAUUAUUAUAUCAUCCACAUAAACUAAUAAUAUCAUAAGAGAAUUACCCGAACCAUUGAAAAACAAGGAGUAGUCAGAUUUUGAUCGAGUAAAACCAAUUUUGAGCAGGAAUUGUGAGAAUUUAGCAAACCACUAUCGUAAGGCCUGUUUCAGUCCAUAUGUGGACUUGUGUAAUUUACAAACCAAUGGGGUAUUGGAACUAUGAUGUCCCCCCUGAGUUAAAACACCCAGAGGCAAAUCCAUAUACACUUCCUCGUCGAGAUCUCCAUUUAGAAACGCGUUAUUGACGUCCAUCUGUACUAAAUUCCAUGAAUUUGUUGCAGCAAUGGCAAGUAACAUCUUCACUGUGACCAUUUUAGCUAUCGGGGAGUAGGUGUCGAAAUAGUCGAUGCCUUCUUGUUGGGUAAACCCUUUUGCAACCAAUCGGGCCUUGUGACGUUCAAUUUGUCCAUUUGCACCAUAUUUUAAUUUAUAAACCCAUCGGCAUCCCACAUAAUUUUUACUAGGAGGCAAUGGAACAAUAGACCAGGUGUGAUUGUCAUGCAUAGCUUGCAUAGCAUCACGCCAUUCUUUAAAUUUGGCAGCCUGCAUGUAACACUUAGGCUCAUAAUUGGCAGACAUAGCCAUAACUAAAGCCUUGUUUUUUAAUGAAAUAUGAUCAUAUGAUAAGGUGUCUUGUAAAGGAUAUUUACAAGGAGCAACUUGGACCAUGUUACAAUGGAAAUCUCACAAAUAUGAUGGAGGUUGAUAAUUACGUGAGGAACAUCUUAAAAAACGUUCAACAUGUUCGACUGGAACAUCGACCGGAACAGGAUCAGUGUUGGAAUUAAUAGGAUUGACAUGUGAAUUUGGUGAAAAAGACAUGGGUAUAAAGUCAUCAUUUGGAAGUGGUAAGACAACAUCAGAGAAUGGAUCAUUUGAUGGAACCAAAUUGGUAUUUUUGAAAGGAAAGAUUGUUUCAUGGAAGAUAACAUCCCGUGAAUAUAUGAUCUGAUGUGAAGCGAUGUCAAGAAACUUGUAAGCUUUCAUGAGAGGUGGAUAACCCAAGAAUACACAAGGUUUCGCUCGUGGAGAAAUUUUGUUUCUUUGUGAAAGCAAUGUUGAUACAUAAGCCAUACAUCCAAAAGUUCGUAAGUGUGAGUAAGAUGGUUUUUUACUGUGAAGUAUUUCAAAUGGGGUUUUGUCACCUAGGAAUUCAGAAGGUAUUAUGUUUAUCAGAUAUGCAGCUGUAAGUAUACAUUCUGUCCAAAAUGAGAUUGGUACAUUCGAUUGAAAAAGAAGUGAACCGGCAACAUUGAGAAGAUGUUGAUGCUUCCUUUCAACGAAAACAUUUUGUUGUGGCCUUUCCACAUAAGACUUUUGGUGUAAUAUGCCUUUUUUGGUGAAGAAUUGUAAGAAAUCAAGUUCUGGGGCAUUAUUUGAACAAAAAACUUUUAUUUUCUUAUUGAAUUGAGUAAGAACCAGUUGAUAAAACCUGGGAAUAACUUGUUAGACUUCAUAUUUCUGCUUAAGCAAGUAUAUCCAAGUAUACCGACUUGAAGGAUAUUUCUGCUUAAGCAAGUAUAUCCAAGUAAACCAUUGUGAAUUGCCAAAGAAACAUAUUUACUUGAAGGAUUUUCUUCGUUUGGAUUAAUUGAAAUCAUGUGAUUGGUAAGGGCAAACAUGAGUUGUUGACACUGAGCUUGUGAGAAACCUCGAACAACAUUGUCCAAUUCAGGCGUAUCAUGUGUGGAAGUAUCAUUUCCAGUGAAUGCAGCAACACAAGAAGUUUUUCCCUUUGAUUUAUAUCUAGGAAGGUAGCCAUGUAGUUUGUUGCACUUAUCAACAAUAUGUCCUGCAAAUUUGCAGUGAGUGCAAUAGGGGCGUUCUUUGCGUUGAUUACCAACCUGAGGCUUACGAACAUUAGUUUUAGCCAAAAGAUCCAUGGAGUUAUGAUUAUCAGUAAACAAGGACUUUUGUUUUUCUUCUUGAGUGACAAGGGAGAACACACGAUUAAGAGGAGGUAUGAGGUCCAUGAGAAGGAUUUUUUCUCUUGUUUGUGAAUAGGAAUCGUUUAAUCCCAUUAAGAAAUUCAUAGUCUGCUCAUUUUGAAAAUACUUUUCAAUUUCCUUGACACCAUUGCAUUCACACUUACCACAUGAACAAUGUGGUCUGAAAUUUGACAAUUCUUCUCAUAUGGACUUCAAUUUCAUGAAAUACACUCUAACUGAGUCUUGAUUCUGAAUUAGAUUGACUAAUUCCUUACGAAUCUGAAAUAUACAAGGUCCAUUGGAUUGUUCAAAACGCUCUUUUAAAUCAUUCCAUAUUUCAAAAGUCGUCUCUACAAGCAUGAUACUUGUAGAGAUUUCUUUGGAUACAUAAUUUAAAAUCCAUGAUAUCACCAGAUUAUUGCUUCGCAUCCAUGAAUUAUACAUGACAGAAUAUGAUGUAGAAGGUUUAGGCAAAGAUCCAUUGAUAAAACCAGUUUUGUUCUAAACAGACAAAGCAAUCAACAUUGCUUGACACCAUGAAGAGUAAUUAUAUCCGGUAAGAGGCUGAGAUACAAGAACAUAACCUGGAUUAAUUAACUGAAUGAUGAAGGUAAUAUGGAUGCAAUCGAUUGUCAAUUGGAGACAGAACUGCUUCAGACGAAGUUGAAUUGCUUGCAUUUGAAGUCGACAUGCUUGAUUUUUGAAGAAAUCAAUGAAUCCGUCGUGAAAGGAAAAUGAGAAUCUUCAAAUCGGAUAUGAUUUAGAAGAUAAAUAAGCUUGAAUUGGAAAACUUAGAAAAUCAAAGGUGUGAAGCUUGAAUCGGAAGCAUUUGCUCUAAUACCAUUUUGUAUUUAGAGAUAGAGAGAAGAGAUGGAAACAAAAACUUCUCAUUA